rnacentral:lncRNA from 1 species
GGUUUACUUCCAAUUCAUGCUCAAGAUACUAGAAAUUGGCCCCAACAACCUCCUAUCCUGCUACCGAAAUGGAAAUUUCCCUCUUUUGAUGGUGAGGAACCUAAAGUAUGGAUCGGAAAAUGUGAGAAAUAGUUUUUUCAACAUAUGAUACUUUAUGAAUAAAAGGUGAAAUCUGCUGUUUUUUAUUUGAAUAGAUUGGUUGAGGUAUGCUAUUGGUCGUUGGAGUUGACUAGAGGAAUAGUGACAUGGAUAGAGUUCAAGGAGGAAUUGAUAAGUAAUUUUGGUGACAUGCUGGUGGAAGAUGUAGGUGAGGAAUUUGAUAAAUUGAGACUAGGUUUUGUUUAUUAAUUCUUUGGGAUAUUUAAAGACCUUAAGGUGCAUAUUCUCGUCCAAAAUCUUGCACUAAAUGAAUCUCACUUCCUAUCUAGUUUCAUAGGAGUACAGAGAAAGGAAAUAAGGUUUGUUGUUAAGUUUUUAAAUGCAGGUUAUAGAUUUUGAAGCUUCUAAAAAGAGGAACGAGACAUGUACUUGAUUUGCUCAGCAUGUGACUAAUGUGAUUGUUAAUAGAGGGUCUGCUAACGCUACUGUGAAGAAUACUAGAUUCUGACUAAUCUCAAAGUUGUAUGAGUAUUGGAAUACCAUCAAUUUGUGCAUUAGGUGUGGAGAAAAGUAUGGGACUAUUCAUGUAUGCAUAAGGAGGCAACUAAAUUGUUUGAAGGGUAAAUAGAGGCUAAAAUUAAUAAGAUUGAAAUUAAAACUUCCCAACAAAAAGAUGAACCAAUUGGGGCGAUGAUAGAAGGAGUAAUAGAAUAGGAGAUUCACCAAGUUGUGUGCCUGAAUGCUUUGAUAGGUCAUAAUUAAUGUGAAAACACUAUUCUAGUGGGUUGUAUUGUGAAGAAGAGGAGGCUAUCUUAUUGAUUUAUUGUGGUGGGACUCACAGAUCCAUAGAUAAGCACACCACCCAAGUUACAUGGAAUCAAUCCAGUCAUUGCCCUCCUAUGAGAUUGGCCGUGGCUGAUGGCAACUAUGUUAUGUGCACAUCCCAUUGCAAAAGUGUUUGUACAAAAUUUAAGAGCAAACAAUUAUGGAAAACCUCCUCAUGAUUCUUUUAAUAGGUUGUGAUAUGGUGCUUGGUAAUGACUGGAAAAAAAAGCAUAACCUCACCAUGUUUGAUCACGAGAGAAAAUGUGUCAGUAUUCGAAGGAAGCCUAACAAACUAGUGUUGACAGCUCUAGUACAAAGCACUUUUCAAUAUGCUCGGUAGUGGUUCCAUGAGUCAAAUGUUGAAGAAAGGAUAUACUCUUAUUUAUCACUUGUUCAUGAUGAGCACGAUGUCGAAUGCGAGUAAAGACCCCCCUGAUGUUGUAGUAAACGAGAUGAUAGAUUAGUAUGUCGAGGUAAUUGCUAAACUUAAAUCCCUACAACAUAUAAGAUCAUUAGAUUCUGUUAUUCCACUAAAGCCUAGGACAAUGACAAUUAGUUUCAAACUUUAUAGAUUUAAGUAUCAUUAGAAAGAUGAGUUAGAGAAACAAGUAAAGGGAUGCUUACUGGUGGAGUGAUUAAACCUAGUAAAUCUGCCUUCUCUUAGCCAGCCUUACUAGUCAAGAAGAAGGACAUUACUUGGAGAUUAUAUGGUGAUUAUAGGGGCCUUAAUGACAUCACUAUUAAGAAUAAGUACACCAUACCUGUAGUGGAUGAUAUCUUGGAUGAGUUGUGUGGUGCUUGUGGAGUGAAUGAACCUAGUAAAACUCCCUUCUUUUCACCAGCCUUACUAGUCAAGAAAAAGGAUGUUACUUGGAGAUUCUAUGUUGAUUAUAUGGGCCUUAAUGACAUCACUAUUAAGAAUAAGUACACCAUACCUAUAGUGGAUGAUCUCUUAGAUGAGUUGUGCGGUGCAAUUAUUUUUUCCAUGGUUAAUCUUAGGGCAGACUACCAUCAUAUAAUGCUAAACGGGGAGGAUAUGUUCAAGACUACUUUAAGGACUCUUGCAGGACAUUAUGUGUUUCAGAUGAUACCUUUUGGUCUCACCAAUGCUUUAGCUACCUUCCAAGUCCUUAUGAACCAGGUUUUCCAACCUUUCUAGAAAAAAAUUGUCUUAGUUAUUUUUCAUAUAUACUUGUGUAUAGUCAGAGAGUAAAUGAUCAUGUGCAACACUUGAAAGUUGUGUUUGAGAUUCUCAACUGACAUUCACUAUAUGCUAAUAGACGAAAAAUUCAUUUGGUCAAACACAAGUCGAGUUGUAACAAACGGAAUCCGCCAUUUUAGAAAAGACAAUGGGGAAAAAUUUUAGAUCAGAAAACUUUUGUUGUAGUACAUGGAAUAUCCCAACCUUGUCCAGAUUUGGACGAAAUAAGAGUCGUUAAUCUAGAGGGAGAUCUUGCAAUAAUUGAAUUAUUUGGUUAUGAUUUUGGUCGCAUAAGGGUAUAUGUAACUCAUUAAUGGAUUUGUACGACUUCAUGAAAUUCAACUCGAUUGAGUAGAACUCCCGAAAUCAAUCUUAGCGUGAAUGGGAUUUUUUGAGUGUCAGUGGUGUGUUGAUAAAUGGGGGUCUCAGAAUCUAGAUCAAAACCCUCCCCUAUUGUAGAACGUAAUAGAAUGUGUAAUUAUCAAUAGGGGAGGGUUUUGAUCUAGAUUCUAUAGUUGAAACAACCCUAUUUUGGUUACUUAAAAUAAUGGGUUUGAUCUAGGUUCAUAAAAUUGUUGCUAUUUGGGUAUUAGAUAUUUAUUAUUCAUUCCCUCAUUAUAUUGAUUGUUUGUAGACCAAGAACAAGCUGCACAAAUUUGAAAAGGGGAGGAUAAGUUUUUUCGGGUUUGAAGCUUGUUUCGAGGUAGGUGGUGGUUGAAAUUCUAUUAUUGUGAGAUGUCUAUUUAUUGUUGCUUCAUUAUGAUACUUGUAUGUAUAAAUUAUUGAUCACACUUGUUGUAAAUGAGAUAGAGGAAUGAUGAAUGUCAUGAAUCAUGAAUCAAAUGUAUGAUUUUGAGAAUAUGACUUGUGAUUGUGAUAGUGGUGUGUUUAAUGGAUGGGCUGCGAGGUUUUGGCAUAACUAACUUUGAUCGAGUACCACGUUUUGGCAUAACUAUGGGAUCGGUUGUCACAUUCUGGAAUAAUUAUUGGAUCGGGUACCACGUUUUUUAUGCUAAUUAUUUGGGUUUGGGAUCCAUGGAAGGACUAAUGACUUGUCAGAAUUGUGUAUCUUAAGAAAUAUAAAGUUAUCCGUUGUUCAUAAAUGUUGAUAGUAUUGUACAUGUUUGAUAUUUGCAUAUGAUUAUGAUGUUGUAUUUAAUUUAUUGAGUUAAAGUUAAUGGGAUAGUUGUUUCAUCCUAUCGGUACCUUGUGGUUGCAUACUGAUAUUGAAGUUUCUCUUAUUUUUGUUGAGUAAAUGGCAUCAUCAGGCGUUGUUGAAAAACCUCAUUUAGAAGAUCAGUAAUUGUUCAAAUUUAAGGAUGAGACAAUUCUUCCGAGACGUCAUGAGUACUUCUUUCGUCUAUGUCCAGAUUUUGGACUUAGACUGUUCUAGUUAGUAUUAGUUCAUUAGUUUGGUGGAUGCAUCCCUUCUUCUUUAGACUUGUUGAUCAUUAGAUAUUUUGGUACAUUGACUUUCUUGUUUUAGGUUAUUUCUUUCCCAUUGUUUAGUUUGUUGAUAAAAUUGUUUUUAUUAAUGUUUUUGUAAACUCCCUAUUUAUUUACUUGGUAUUUAACUUGCUUCCGUAAGUUGAAUUCCUUAUUUUUGAAUUAGGUUCAUAGCCUGGGUUGUAGUAGUUGUUAUCCAAUUGGAGAGUUAGUGUUGUUACAAUCACGACAGUUUGGGUCAUGACAAGAGUACUUGGGUCAUGUUAUUUCCAGGGAAGGUGUAGCUAUUGAUCCCCAAUAAAUUAGAGACAUGUUCGAGUGGCCAAGACCAAAAACACUCAAAGAAUUAAAUGAUUCCUUGGCCUAACUUGCUACUUUUGAAAGUAUGUUGUUAAUUGUUGUAUUAUGACUAGGACCCUCAUUGAUUUGUUACAGAAGGAUGUCUUCAAAAGGAAUCCAGAGGCGGGACUUGCAUUUGAAGCGCAUAAGAAAGCUAUGAGCAUUAAACUUGUGCUCAAGCUUCAAGACUAUUUAUAGGAGCUUGUCAUUGAGACUGGUGCAAGUCAUCAAGGCGUUGGUGCACCACUUAUGUAGAAUGGAAUACCAAUUGCUUAUUUUAGUAAAGUAUCAGAAGAGAAGCAUCAAGGCAAGUCUAUUUAUCUGAAGGAGUAUAUAGAUUUGAGUGUUUUGGAUAAGUGGAGACACUAUGUACAACAAAAGCACUUCGUGGUCUGGAGUGACCAUCAUAGCUUAAAGUAUCUACUGGAACAAAAGGUAACCUCGGCUAUUGAGCAAAAGUGUUUAACAAAGAUGCUUUUACUUGAUUAUGAGGUUCAAUAUAGAGUUGUGGAUUUUUUGUCUAGGCAACAAAAAGAGUUAGAUUCACUGGAUGAUCAGGCCACUGGGACUAUAAUGGUUAUAAUUAGUUUUACUCUAACUUGGGAACAAAAUAUUAUUGGGAGAUAUGUAGAGGAUGCUCAUGUUCAAACUUUCUUACACUACUUGUAGUAGGUUCUCGUGGAUCCAAUUUAUGGCACUAGUAGGAUGGUAUAUUAAUAAAGAAAAUGUCUGUGUAAUAUCGCAUGAAACUCUCUGACAAAAACUCAUUUUUUUUCCAUGAUAAUCCCCUUUGUGGUAAUUUUGGUCAAUUACGUACAUUGAGAAGGUUGUCACAACUUUUAUAUUAUCCAAAUAUUAAUCUUAUGGUUAGUGAUUAUAUGUCAAGUCGUCAUGUAUGCCAUAGGAAUAAAGAUAAUAACAAGUAUUAUCCAGGAUUGUUGGAACCAUUCCACAUUCGUAAUCCUAACUUACCUUGGAAUAUAAUAGGUUUCACCAAAUUCAAACCAUGGAAGAAAAGGGGAGUACCCUUUUCCGAGACAAGGAUAACCUCAUUGUUACGAUGGCUUUCUACAUCAAUGAAGGAAAAAACUAAGAGUCCGUCGACUCUUUGGAGUUUAAUAAGGUUUGAAUAUGUGUAUGUAGACGCAAUGUAGAAGACUUCCGACCAUAAUGCCUCCAUGGAAUUGCAGAGUGUCGAUUCUUAGUAUUGCACAUUCAGUCCUGCAUGAGUAGAGGCGCGCAGGAAAAGAUUAAAUGCAUAGUCAUAUCUGUUAAGAACAUAAUUCUAAGAGCUAAGAGGAAGGAAAAAGUAGCACAUUAAUGACAUGUAAGACUAGUUUUGCUUUUUUACUCACUUACUAAAAAUGGUUAUUUCCUCUUAUGGACAAGCAAGGAGUUUUCUCACCCCAUUGUAGUUGCACCGAUGAAACAAAGGAGUUUUUUUUUUCAUCUCUGAGUUUACGAUAUUUUCUACUCAUCCAAGCUUUUCUAGGACAAAGAAAAUGCUUAUAUGAGAACAAGUCAGAGGAAUAGUAAAAAAAUAAUGAAGCAUGGUUCCAUAUCAGCUUGGACUUUGUGCAGUAGAAAUAAAUGGAGAUAUAACAACAUUUUCUGAAUAUCAUAUUUUGAUGUUUAAAUGUAAAAAAUGUGUUUGCCAAUAUUUAUACACAUUUGGACCAAAUGUCAUAAAUUUUAGUGUGGGAUUUAUUUCCGCUUUGAGAUAAUUGGCAGGAAGAAUUUGUGAUAUUUAUUUUGUAAGUAUUACCAAGUCUAAAUCUAAAGAUGUCAUAUUAGUUGUGGUUGACAGAUUCACUAUGUAUGCCAAUUCUAUAGCUAUAUCGCACCCCUAUACUACCACAACUUUUGUUUCCUUCUUUUGGAAGAGGAUACAUAGCCUACCUGGAAAUUUUAAGUCUGUUGUGACUAAUAAGGACAAGGUGUUUUUCACAUACUAUUGGCAAGAUUCAAUUGACUUAAAGGAACUCAAAUCAAUUAUAUAUCUUCCUUGCACAACCCUCAAAGUGAUAUCCAUACAAAAAUUGUUAAUAGGUGCUGAUACAUAUUUUUUAAGAUGCAUGGUGGCAAGCAAGCCUAAAAAGUGAAAAAAUGGCUAUCCGUAGCUAAAUGGUUGUUUAGUAAAAAUUUUCAUAUACUGUUGAAGUUUACUUCUUAAAAAUAUCAUUAUGGGUAUACAUCACUCAGUUAUGUAUCAUACCUUUAAUAGAAAAUCUAGUGCAAGUAGCUGAAGAUGUGAUCAUAUAGAGACAACAAUUAUUACAAUUACUUAAGGAUAACAACAUGCAAUUGAAGACCAGAUGAAGUUCUUUGCUGAUAAUAUGAGUGAUAGAGAGUUUGCAAUAGGAGAUUUAUUAUAUGUGGAGUUGCAUACAUAUAGAAAAACAUCAUUGUGUAGCACUAUGUAAGAACCUUAACCUCAACUCUACAUAUUAUAGUCCCUAUCUGGCUAUUUCUAGAAUUGUUAAUGAAUCUUAUAAACUAUAAUUACCACCUGAAUCUAAGGUCCAACCCAUAAUCCAAAUCUCAUUACUCAAAAAUAAAGUGGAAAAUUCAGUCGCCUCUGUCUAAUUCCGGAGAUGAUGGUCAGUUUAUAUCUAACACUGGAACUGAUGGUAAGUUUAUAGUGCAUCUAUUUCACUUUGUGCAAAGGCAAAUGAUUAGUAGAAUAUUGUUGCCACUGUAAAAGUGUCGGUUCAGUUGUCAAACCUUCUUCCUGAAUAUACUAAAUGGGAGGACUACCAACAGUUCCUGUCACGACCGGGGUCUAGACCCUGAAGACGGCGUCGUUGACCUCUCUGAGGUUGCAGACAUGCCUACAUACGUCAUCAUUACAUCAUAUAGGUUAAUUUUAGCAAAACUUUGAUACUUUUGUUUAAUUUGAAGUAUACAUAUACUUCAUAGUAAGAAUUUCAUUAUAUCACAUCAGUUCACAACAACCAUCUAAUAACAAGAUAUUCAAAUGAACAAAAUAGUUAAUAAUUGCAUUAAUAUAAUGUUGCUAAAAUGGCACCAAUAAAACGUCUGAGAAUAAGUAAAAAAGAAACAACAGUGGAACAUCCUCCAAUAGCUCAUGCCUACAUCCAAACUAGAAUAUAAGACAUAAUCAUCCUUGACCGCAUGAGGGCCUACCAAGUCCGGAUGAAUUCUUAACGUCCGGGUAGCUCCUACGUAGUCUCGUAAGUUCUAGCGUCCCGCUGCACCUACACCUAAAAGUAAAGGAUUGUAUGGAAUUACUACACAUUUGCUCUAAGUAUGGGUGUAUUCAAUUACACAACAAGGACAUGCAUGAUUAAGAAGAGCUCUCUCCUAACUAUAUAAGUUAUGGAAAGCGAAGUUAGUUGGACGUGCCAAAUAAGAUUAGGAAAGUCAUGCUAUGAGAGUAACAUGCAUCAUCAUUCUUUUCAUAUUGCACAAAACACAUAGCACACUUCAUUUAGCACAUAUAUAUAUCACAUAUCUUUCGUUCAUAUGCCGUCAAACCUUGGAAGCACGAACUUGACAUUAGGACUUCCCAAAUGAGGGAUCCACAUAUGGGACUUCAACUAGGGAUCCUUCUUUAGAAAAUAUAGAGUCUGUUUCAUUCAUUCAUACGUACUUCAUUUUCAUCCAUUUAUAUACCUACGAUGUUGUUUAGGAUUUUCAUCGGGUUUACUGUGAAAUGAGCAAGAAUGACAAAGUGUUAUUACUUUAGUCUAGUUCACCUCAUGAUUAUCUGAUCCAAACACCUUUGGUAUCAUUUAUUUCAUUAUGUGCAUUACAUGAGACUAGCCUCAUUGUUUCUUUGGGAACUUCAACUUUAACCAACAUAGAUCAUGUGAGCUUCAUGAAAUCUAGUGUCUAGCCCACACCAAAAAGAGGUGGAAUCACUUGCCAAAGUGAAACAAAAACAUGCUAGCAUAUAUAGGGAAAUGAACCUUGCUAGAACCUUAUGUUAGCAGCAUAGGUUCAAAUACUAGGAGAUAUAGGGAGACCUAUACCCUCCUAAAUGGAUCGUCUCAUCUCAUGAGAUUUUCACGAAUCUCUACCUUCCUGAAAGAAGGAAUUACCACUCAUAGCUAGUCAAUCGGGCUCAGUAUAAAGUUUUAUACAUUCAUCUCACACAUCGUAGAUGCUAGCUUCAAGAAUGAGGGCAUCAUUGCUUAUUAAAUGUCUCAUCUCGUCAUUAUUAUUAAGUAAGCAUUAAUCUAAAUACUUUCAUUAGAGUGUUUCUUAGAGACUGGUCUCUUUAAUAUUUUAUACUCUCAUAGGUAAGGUUUUUGGUAACAUUUAUUAGUCUCAUUUCAGAUUGUUUUCCACUUUCAUAUUAGUAUCUUAUCAUGUUGACAUCACAUUCGUUAACUUUAGCAUAUUAGCUUUUCACAAUUCCUCAACCCAUUACGUGAAAGUUUACUUGGUCAUAUGCCAAUGCACUCGGCCUUUUAGUGUGUUUCACACUCUUACUUAACCCUCAUGCGGUCACAUAUUUCAUCAUACACAUCUUAGAUUCACUUACUUUUAAACGUACGCUGCACUUAUGAACCCAUAUGUGAUUUGAAAUUUCAGCUUUGGGACGUGAGAUCAAAUACCAACGCCUACAUUUCUUUUCUUGUUUUCUCUCCUUGACUUUUCUAUUUUUGACCGAAAGGAUGUUGGAUAGAAUCCCUCACAACCUCAUUUUAUUUUUCUUUAAUUGGUUAUCCUUGUUUCCUCACCUAUCCAAGAGGUUAUGGGUUAGAUUCCCACACACCCCACUUUAUUUAUCUUUAUUAUCAAAUGGAACGGUCUUAAUUUCACUAGCUUUUAUAUGGUGAGGUAUAAAUUUCAAAUCCCUGAUGACCUCACAUAUUUUUUAAAAAAAAAUUGAAACCCAAAAACCUUCUAACAGCUUAGCCGAGACAAAUUUUCCAAAUUUUUGUAAAUUUGGUCAUAUUUUCAAUCCAUUCUUUCUCAACCUUUGUACAUUAGAUUUUUAUGGAAAUCCUUGGAUAUUUAGUACAUUAUUAUAUUUAUUUUUCAAAGUAAUUUAUACAAAAAGACAGGGAUUUAACAUGUCAUUUUCGUGCUCCAACCCGUGAUCAAGAACCAGGUCAAACUUCCUUUUUACACUAACUUAUCACAUAGUUUCGGAUAAUAUUAUUUAUAAUCACUUAAAUGCAAACAAACAUAAAUAAACAUAAUCAUCACGAGAACACAUUAGAUCCCAAAAUGCUACCAGCAAAUAUAUCAAACCUACAAUUAUCGAUGGGAGCUAGUGACAGGGAAAUGAAACGAGGAAACAUUCCUAGUUUUCAGAUUAGAUUUCUACUGAAUCCUAGGGGUCUCUUUUGAAAGGGACCAAGAGGAAGAAACCCGUAACUUUUCUGUCGUUUAACACUUGUUAAAAAAUGAUCCAAUGUACUUCCAACUUCCACGAAUAUAAUGCUUCACCACCGAAACUUCAAGCACAACCCGUCGAGAAAUUCACUUUGUUUUUCAUUAUUAGACUAGUUUUCUUUUGAGCUUUAGCGUUCAUGUUCUUCAAGGGUGAUGAGCUUUAAUUUUCUUUUCUUUUACUGAUAAAUAACGUUAGAAUUAGAGUGGAGAAACGUGAGAAUAAGUUUAGGAGUAGGAGUUUUAGGUGAAGUCUUAGUCAAACUAGCACUCCUUGUUAUUUAAAUAAAAAAUCUCUUUUUGUAAAGCUUAAGUAAGAUGACUAAUUUUCCCUUACUUAAUAAGAUAAUGAAUUAAAAAUUAAUUCCAUUAAAUAUUGCUUCCACCAAGUAUCAAACCCGGGUAAAGAUCCUCUCACGAACGGGUCAAUCCAGGUCGACCUAACCCGAACCAUCCACUAAAAUACAUCAAUUAAUUAAUUAAUUAAAUCUUUAGGGUAAUUAACAUACUACCCUUAGCCUGGAAAAGACCAUUUAACCCCUAGACCCUACAAACCUAUGAUUACCCCUUUCAAUUCCGUAAAAGACUGAUACGGGUGAAUCUUCAUAUUCGGGUACCCUACAUGGCUAAACCGAACCUUACAUGGCUCAACUAACUCACCAAGUUGGUUGGCUUGGCAGGUGAAUAGGUUCUGAGGUAUGGUUCCACACGCAUAAGCCGUGUGAAGCCAGUUUAAUCUAGGCAUUCUAAGUAGGUUUACGCAUUACUUCGCAUAGUAAUUUUGGGUUGUUACAGCUAUGCACAACCCUUUCUAAUUUUAGUCUUGAUCUUUGAGGACAAAAAUCAUUUGAAGUUGGAGGGAAUGUGAUGAUCUCAAUCCUACCUUAAAAAACGUUGUUAUCAAUAUUUGAACUAGAGAAAGAGUAUAAGCCAUUAAUAGUGAUAUUAAAUAUUAAAUUGUCGAGAUUAAAUUAAUUCAAAUAGAGCUAAAGGGACGAGAUCAUACCACAUGGACAUAUGGUUAUCUAUGUACAUCACAGAUGAGAGAGAUGGCUAACUUUAAUCUGAUAUUUUUUAAUCCUCCCCUCAUGUAUCUCUUCUUCAUUUGAAGUUCUUUUCUCUUUUCAUCAAAAUUUGAUUAUCUUCUCUCUACUUCUUCUUCUACAUAUCACAUCACCAAUAUAUAGAUCACUAUAAAUAGUUUCUUUUUUUAGGUAGAAUUUUCUUCUUCAAUUGAGUAUCAUUAUACUAUUUUUUAUCUAUGACAUAAAAUUCUAAAAAAAGGUGUUGAGUUGAUUGUUAAUUUUUACAUUUAAAUUUUAUCUCGAUUGAGAUCAAAAUAGGGGACGAGCCAAGUUCAAUCCCUUUUCAAUUGAUCGUUGGUAUGUUGAUAUACCAUAGUUUCACGAUACUAUUAAUACUUUUUCCUUAAGUUUAGUGUGUCCAAAAGCCUUUUUGUGCUAAUUUUGAUAUAAGUUUCUCUUUAUUUGCAGGAAAUCUGUGUAAAAGAUGAAUUCAAAAGUUUUUGAGCAUGAAAUACAGAAAAGUACAACCUACUGAGCUUUUCACGGUCCGUCAUCCUCGUGCCGGUCCAUAGGUGGCAUCGUAGUUCUGCUGCUGAAGGAAGAUGGGGAAUUCUGACCAAGUGUGGGGUUACAGAAAGAGUGACGGACCGUCGUAUCCAUGACAGUCCAUCCUGCUAGUUCAUCAUGAAGUUCUGAGAAGUAGUCCCGGUAACCAUAUUCCAAGAGUUCAAGUGUUUUGGAACGGAGACCCCCGACAGACCGUUGUGCCGAUGACGAUCUGUCAUACCUGCCGUCGAGGAUAAUGAAGAGAGAAGUAGAAGAAAUUGAACAAGUAUGGGAUGAUGGAGUCCAUGACCGCCCGUCAUGACCACGGGGAUCCGUCGCGAGGUCCGUCGACCCAGCCGCGUUUUGACAUAUUUCCAGCAAAUAGACUCCUUAUUUAAUUAGGUUUUAAUUUUUACCUAUAGUUUGAAAAACCUCAUUUUUGAGGUUAGACCCUUGAUUAUUGUUAGACUCUUGAUUAUUUGGUUGGACUCUUGAAUAUUUUUAGACUCUUUGUUAUACUUUUUUGUGAUUACUAUUACACUUUUGAAGAAUCUUUAAUCUUCAAUUAAUUUUAGCAAUUGAUUGUUGGUGAUUUUGGUUGAUUAAUCAAGUGAACUUCUGGAUUUUACUCUUUCUCAUUGAAGUAAGUACAUGAAUUCUUAUAUCAUAUAUUUGAUAUUGUUAUUAUGACUAUGGGUAACUAAACUCCAUAACUAGGCUUGUGGGAACCAUAGGCGAAUAAUGAGGGCAAACCUAACUAAAAUAACAAUUCUAGAAUAGUGUCUUGCAUGUAUUGAUAAUUCUUUAGCUUAGAAGUCUUUUUAACGGAUGGCCAACGUUAAAACUCACCUAAAUGCUACUUGCCGGACCAAGAAGGUAGAUAAUAGGAAAAGAAUUAUCAGUAUAUAUUUAGUGUAUACUAUCUAAUAGGGUAGUAUUGAUUGGUACGAGGUAAUAACUUAGUUAAAUAUCGAAUAUGAUUCUUAAUAUGAGGUAAAGGUAAGGGUUAGUAUAGCAACACACGUAGCCGGACAAAGGUGCGGAGCAAAAUUUUCUAGAUUCCGGAAUAAGGAUUUAGAAAUACAUAAUUUAUCAUUUUGCAUGCAAGAUACUAGGAAAGAAUUGUUAUAGUUUGAAUUAUCAAGUUAUGAACCUGUGGGGAACACGUAAACCCUAGUUUCUUUUAUUAAUUAAUUAAAUACAAACAGUUGAAGCUGUGAAUUGUCUCUUUUAAUUUCGCUAGUUAUUUUCAUCUAUUUAGAAAAUAGAAAACCCCCCUUUUAUCAUUCUUGCUUUCCAAGAAAGUAAUUGACUGAACAAUAGUAAUAAUAUAUUGAAGUAAAGUCUAAACUUUUUUCCUUGUGGAAACGAUCCCAACCUCAUUAGUUGGGUUAUAUACAUGACAGGACCGCUUAACUUCUUAUUUGAAAAGUAAGUUUGAGCAUAUCAUUUGUUAAUGCGAAAACUGAGCAAUAGAAAAACUUAACAAGGGGUUUUUGUGGCCUUUUUGGAGUGAAAAAUCGGUGAAGGAAUGAGGAAAAUUAAAGAAGGAACUUUAUUUCCCAUUCAAUAUUCCCCCUUUAUUUACUAUGAUAAAUGGGAUAUCGGUUAAAAAAUUUACAGCGUCACUGUAAAAUUGUUGGUCUAAUUAAAUUACUUCUUAGGUUGAAAUAGCUGGGGUUAUUUAUGGGUAUCAAUAUUAUUACUUCCUCCCCUUUAUAUUAUUUACCCACAAAGUGUAAUGUUGGUGUUGGUUACAUGGAUUCAAUGGUUUUUGUAUUUUUCUCUCUCAUUUUUUCUUGAGUUUUGACGAUGUAUUCUCGCUGCAUCUAUCUACAAAAAUUAAAUACUAUAAAGAUAACCUUUGAGAUACUAAUGGGUGAAUAGGAAGCAAACAUCAUAAAUUGAUCAUGGAAGAGGAGCUUGUUAUUGUUAAGAAUCCUUUGUUGGAGAGGUGGGUGUUGAAGCCGUUAACGUAUAUUGAAUUUGUUGCAUCAGCAGAGAACUCCAGGGUAAUUCACAGGGGAAAAGGUUAUAUUUGGCAGAUCCAUUUUAGUAAAAAAAACAUUGACGGAAAUAUAGUAAUUUGUUACCACUUUAAUAAUCCUUAUUAUUUCUUCUUGGCUUUAGGAUGAAUAAGAUAUUGCUGAUAUUGUAUGUUUCAAAGACGACAUAAAUAAAAAUAUUGUUGAGAUAGCAAAGCUAAAACUCAUUGUGGAUAUAGCUAGUAUAUAUAUUUAAAAGUGACCUAGAGCGGAAAUGUAUAUAAUUAUAGGUCUUAUUACUAAGAAUAGUCUCUCCAGAGUAUAUGAAAAAGUGCAAUUGAUGUAUUUAGCAUAAACUGCUCAAUGAACUAUUUAAUUACAGCUAGUUGAAAGAUUAAAGCUUUAGUUAAUGCAUGCAGCUUGCAAACCUAUACCACAAGCAGUGAUCUUCAGAUAUCGUUUUCCCAAUUCAUUUGAAAAAAAUAUGAAUUUUGAGUAGUGGCAUGCUGCAAAGAGAAUGCAACAUUGGUACCGUCAUAACUAUUUAUUCAGACUUUUAGUUGUACUGAGAUACUGGCCCAUAUUUUUUUACUUUAAGUUGACUUUGUCUUGGAGUGCUCGUUAAACCUCUAUUGCAGGGUCGAAUGUGCAGAUGUGGAAGGAUCUUAAGGUCAUUUUCUCUUGAAUCUCCCUCCAGUGGAAGCUUCCUCGGCUUCAGCCGGAGGAAAUUUGGGAGAUUCCCUGGUUGAAUUACAGGUGGAAUAGCGAGACAGCUCCAAGGGACAUGGGAUCGGACCUGGACACUGCCCAUUCAUAAUGAAUUUUAAUUGGGUUUUCCCAAUUUGGGCAUAUAUGAUACAAAAUUUCUAUUUUUGUUUUGCUUCUCCUUAAGUUUUUGUAAGUACAUUAGUGGUCGUUUUUCUAUUUUCAUAGCCUUAAAUAAUAUUAAGUGAUUAUGACAUAUUGUUCUAUUAUUGAGAAUUGGUUAGAUUGUAAAAAUUAGUCUAUGUGCAAUUACGAGUGAACAGAAGAAUCAAGUAAAAAACAAAGGAGACAAGGCCGAAUUUGUGUUUCACCUUGUCCCUCUCUUGUGGGGGACUUCAUGUUUAUGCGAUCUUACCAUGGUCGAAAUGAUCCCGCCCUGUUCCUCAGUUGGGACUAGUUUCUAGGACAACACUUCAUGUGGGUUCUCCCCAUUACUAGAGUUUUUCAUUAAAUCCAAGGCUAUAAUUAAGCAUUUAGAAUUUAGGACAACUCUGUGUACUAGGAUAGAUAUUCUCCAAACCGAGUCAACCUCACAGUAUACACACAAGAACUCCUUCCCACUUGUAUAAAAGAAUAAGCAUGGACAUCAAAUGAAUAUGCCUAUUAAUAACAUCGUUUUUAAUCGGAUGAGAAACACAUCAUGGGAACCUUAUAAAACAAUAAAAAAAUCUCUAUUAUCCAAUAAUAUCCCUUUUUCUUGCAUGGAUCCCUACCCAUCCUGACUACACCGAUUCCGCGAAUAGUGUUUUAUUAUCAUAAGUUACAUGACUUGAAAAUGUUGAAAGGCAAAGUAAAAAGGCUAUGGAACUUACCAAAAGGUAGAUCAUCGAGUGGAUAGGCAAUCCCAACUUUUUGCACCGAAUGGUCCUUCCCAACAUAUUUUUGGCAACAAUAAAUACAUUUUUAAAAUUCUUAAUUUAUGAUGUAGUUUCGAAUAUGAGUUUCGUUCAAGAAAUAGUUUUCGUUAUUGGUUAGUUUUUAUCAUAAAGGCAAUAUUUUCCUUCUCUUUGAAGAUUUUCAUUUCUGAGAAAUUGUAAGUGGGUAUUGGAGAUUCUUUAUCUUAGACAUUUGUAAUGACGUUACUAAUCGUACCUAGUUGAUGGAAAUCAAUUUGUUAACUAUUUUUAUCUUUUAAUGAUAUCUAGUUAUAACAUCAAUUCUUGGGGUUUGAUCAUUGGAUUAUGGACUGAUUUAGCUACUGGGUAUUCUUAAUUGAUUGUGUAAAUGGUAUUUAAAAGUUAUCUCAUUCAGUAAUUUGGUCUUAAUCUUAAAGGUUGUAGUUGCAAAUGCAACUAUACCUUUAUAUUUUGGCUUUCUCGAGAGACAGAUUUUAAAACAAAUAUUGCUAACUUGAUGAUCUAUAGGUAUCAGGUUGACAUGGGUUCAACUCAAGAGAGUUAAUACUAAACCCUUUUCCACACAUUCAGCUCAAGAGAGUUAUGGGACUAUACAGAAGAUUGUUCUUAAUUGCUACUUAUUGAUGUGUAAGAGAAACCAAUUGGCUUCAGGGUAAAUUGCUCAACAGAGAGGUUAUCCCUACUAAAUUCUAGCUUGUUAACUGAUUUACAACUAUUCACUAUUAAUUUCAUUUACCCGGUUGUUUAUCUUAGCACAUAAUAGAAUCACAUCCCAAGAAUUCCAUCUCCAUAUUCAUAUUUUACUCUUAUUUAUUGUUUUAGUUAAUAACUAAAUACAAAACCCUUUUGAUAUUUGACAGUUUUUUCACCCAAAGCAUGAAUUAUGGUUUUAUUGUGAAUGUUUUUAGCCAUGACUGAUUAGAGCAUAUUCACAUUUGGUUAUUGAUUCUCAAAUACAUACCACUACUUGUGGGAAUGAUCAUAACCAUUAGAUUGGGUUUUAUUACUACUCAUGAUAGUUUCUAUAUUUUUACACUUUUAACGUAUUUUUGUCAUUGGAUUUGUGCUCAAAUAUGGGUUACAUUAACGGCUAGCAUUUAAAUUUUAUUUUAAUCGGCAUUUGAAAUUUGUUUUCAGAACCCCGAUUUUAUUUUUAAGAAUUUAAACUCUUAUGCAAAUGAUAUUAUCAUGAUUGUCGUGUGUUGGUCAUUUCUGAUAGGAUUAGAAUGAUUUAAUGUUUUUUUAAUUCGAUAUUCUUGCCUAUAAUUGUUUCUAAUGUUGAAUUCCCAUAAAUAUAUGACUUAAAAUGAAUUAAAUUUUGUCGGUUGUGCUUGUAUAUAGUCUAGUCUAGUUUGAUGAAGUCUGCAUGUAAUGACCCGUAAGAUCAUUUUUCAAAAUAUAUAUGAAAGCCAUUUUACCCAUUUCAAUAAUUGCCCAAAACAUUUUUUAUCGGUUUGUAAAGUUGGUUAGAGAAUUUUAAACUACUCCUUUAUAUAUUGUUAAUUAAUUUACAAUUAAUAAUUAACUUAGUUUGUAACUAAUGGGCUGAGCCCAUAAUUUAUUUAAUAAACUAUAAUUCUUGAAUUUUUAUCCAUUAAAAAAAUUUCAAAGGGUUUAACUUUUUUUACAAAUCAUGAGUCGACAAGGAACAAAAACAAAUAACAUUCUUACAAAGGGAUGUUACCUGAGGCGACAACAAAAGGGUAAAAAUAAUUGCUGCAGGUGAAACAAAUUUUUCAUUCAUUUUUUAUCUUAGUUUAGGAGUAUUAGUUUUUAGCAUAGGUGAUCAAUCAUUAUUAUAUUACUGUUUGGGAAGCUCCAUUUGUAUGUGUAUUAAUUAUGGUCAAAGUAAUUUUUAUAAUUAGGAAAUGGAGGCUGAAUGUUAAGUUAUUAUAAGAAAUUAAUGAUUAGGUAAUAAUGACUCAAAUGACUAAAAUAAUUAUUGGCCAUGAAUACUUCCAGCAAAUUGAAUUGAAUGAUUCACAAAUUUUAUUCGUGUUUGAUAAUUCUCUGUUUUCCAGUAUACUUAUCAUAUAAUGAUCUAAGUUUUAUACAUUGGGAUAACUAAUUAAAUAUAGGGUGUACUAUAUUAGAUUAUAUGAAAACUAUUUGAGUUGUAGUGCUUUGAUAUAUUAUGACUUAACCAUAGGCUUAAAUUUUUAGAAACAAUUGAAAGAACUGAUAUGGUAAGUAUUAUCAAUAUUUAAGAACUUGAUUACAUCUUUGGACGAGUUCUGGGGGUCUAAGCUAGAUAUAGGUGUGUCGUUAGUUUAAAUCCUUAUUGUGAUUAUUUAUUCGGUUAGAUUACAUUAAUUUGGAAGUCUAACAAAAAAGGAGACUCAAGUCCUGGAGUGAUUGUUCGACUAUUGAGGCAAGUUAAUUUCUAAACCCUUGUGAAAUGUAUUAAAUGCAUGUAUUUUUUGUGGUAUAUAUUUAGGAGUAAUAGGACUAGGUAAUGGGUUGACUUGUCCACAUUGCUUAAUUGUAAUGAUGAAAAGAAAAGCGUAAUAAAAGACAAUGUGAUUAAUUGCUUUUGUGUGAUUUGUUGAUAAUGGAGAAUGGAUUGAAAGGCUCUUUGGAUCAUUGUUAAUGUUGUUGUGAAUUGUGCAAUGUUAUGUAAAUGGUGAUAUCCUCUUUAUUUGUGUGAACAUAUCAUUUUCUUGAUUCUGAGACAUGGUUUUUAACAAGUGUUAUGUGCAUUGAGAAAGAAUGAGAACUUAAAGAUGAUAUAUCAUUUCGUGGGACAUAUCGCGUGCGGUGAUAAGUACUAUAUUUUGAGAAUGUAUCGCGUGCUGCGAUGGUUACAUUUAUAGUGGGACGUAUCACACGCCGCAAUAGAUGCAUGGACAGUUAUCUCGUCCAUGGGUCCCGGACUGAAAGACAACGGGUAUGUAUCACUAGGUCAGACAUGUAUAAUUAUACUUAAUAUUGCAUUACAUUGCACUGCACAUACUUAUCAUUAGUGAACUUAAUAUUGUGUUUGGUUUAUCUUGUGAAUGUUACCUGCGGAACUUGUGGUUGAUGAAUACUGAUCUUGUUGUUAAGGAUAUGUAAUUUGUUUAGGUGUUAUCGUUGAGGAUAUGUAAUUUGUUGAAGUGUUGUUGUUGAGGAUAUAAAAUUAAUCAAAGUGUUGUUGUGGAGGAUAUGUAAUUUGUCUAAGCGUUGUUAUUGACCUAUGUGCUACGUAAACAGUGAGUUGUUAGGUUGGACUGCUUUUUAUGUAGGUUGUAGUUGUGGAGGUUAGGUUUGGUUGUACGAGUACCCAUAUUUCAUACUCUUAGCCUCUGUUUAGAGGUAUACUUGUUAAGUACAGUGUUUUUUUACUCACCCCUUGCUUCUAUAAUUUUUUGUAGGUUACUAGCUCGAAACUUUGUGAUAUAUUCUCUUCUUUUUCGAGGCUCCUUUUAGAUUUUUGAGGUAGUUGUUUGUCAUCUCAUCUUACCUUCUUACUCUUGUUUAUUAUUUUUUAGAUCUUCUUACUUUUGUUUAUGAUUUUGUUCUACUUUAGAAACAAUAUCAUAUGAGGCUUAGAUUUUCUAUUGAUUCAAUUGUAAUACUUUAGAGGCUUGUACAUGUGACAAAUCGAUUUUGAGGGUAUUUUUGAGUUUAUUACAGAAUUUUUGUAUUUUAUUGUCAUAGUUGAUUUUUAGGUUGACUCGUCUUGGUGGGAUAAGACGAGUGUCAUUAUGUAUAUUUUUGUAUUGUGACACUAUGUAACUCGUAAGUGAGCCAAAUUACAUAAUUUGCCCAAUGAUAGAGAGGUUGACAUCCUUGUAAAGGGUAUAUGUCAUAAAAUGGUGAAAUUUGGCAAAACAUGGAGAAGUCUGAGUAUCCUAAACAUAGUGGUGCCACUGGUCUAGUUUUAAUAUAACUAGUGCAUGUUUUGAUUUUGUUUUCAGGAGUUGCAGGGUUGAAUUGGAAAAGUUGGGUUUAAUAUAGGAAUGAUGUGUCAUUUAGGGAGCUUAGGAAAGCUCGUCGAACUACUCGGCAGUUUGCUGAAGGAACCCAUCUCACUUUAAUUUAAUUCAUUAUCUAAUUUUAGUUUUUGUAACUUUCAGCGAGAAGCUUAGGUCCCUGAAGGCACUCAACGACUUACCAAAAAUCUUCUUGACCACCCUCUGUCAGCACCAUAAGCCCUUUUCACACUGUAACUUUCAGCGUGCUAAUCCUUGCUCACCAAAAGAUGUUUGCAAUUCAUUCGAAGUCCAUUAAAUCGCCAAAUUUAAAAAACUUUAGAGCCAAUCAAUUCGGCAAGCCUAAUCUAUUUCGCCAAUGUUAUUCUGCGACGCACCUACAUAUUUGGUGUAUUUGUCAGCAAUUUUUUUGUGUGCCUUUAAUUGACCCAUUUCUAAAUUAUUCCACUGUUUGCAUUCAUGGCUAGACCUAAGGUUGCAUGUAGAUACAUGGACUACAAAAAAAGUUUAAGGUCAUUACAACAGGGAUGACACAUCAGCUGAUGAGUUAGAUGCAGAGAUCGACGAGUAGAGGAUAAAGAUACGGGGGAGAUAUAUAUGGAGACUUAUCAGAUAUUGAGGAGAUGAUUAUGCUGUUAGUAAUCCAAAUAUCACUGACUGAGACGUCUAUUGUAGCUCCUAGUGGUUCUUGUACUAUAAUACCUCCUGUAGCGACUCGGCUACUUUGUCCCUAGAUUAGAGUGAUGCCAAGAAAUAUGGAGCGACUUUGUAGACAGGAUAUCCUCUUUGUCUUCCAUUUAUUUUACUUUUGGAUACUUUUUGUUGCAUAUAAGGAUGGACGACUUUAUUUGUGAUGAGGUAAGGCCAAGAUUUUUUGAGAUACUUUGGAAUAUUUAUUUUUAUAUAUUUUGGUUUUGAGAAUAAAUUGUAUUGUAGAAUGCUUUUUGUGGAAUGCUUGAGCUUGUGGCUUGGUGUUUUAAUUGUAAAUGAUGUUUGAUUUUUUCGAAGAAUUUUUCCAACUCUUGAUUGUAUUGAAUGUGGUUGUUCUCUCGCAAGCAAGUCUUGAUUAUUAUCAAUAUCGACGACCUUAAUAGAACUCAUAAUCUAUGAGGCUCAAUUGAUCCUUGUAUGAGUAAUUGUGAGUAACAACUUGAAUCUUUAAGUGCACAGCUGAUCCUUGUAUGAGUAAGUGGAGUCUUGUUAUGUGCACUCAUUAUUGAGUCUUGUGUAGCACUGCUUGACACAUCCUUUUUGAACUGCUAAAGUUGAGUUUACUUGAUAAAAAAUAUAAUUUUAAGUUGUGGGUAUUGAAGAGUGCAUGAUUUGUACUCAUUUAUGGAUUUGUUUUCAUUGAUUUAGUAUCCUCAAUUUCAUUUUUUUUGCCAAUAAUUGAUGCAUGUCAUUGAUUUUCAUGUAUUUGGAUUGAGUAAAAAAGCAUGGAUACUAAUGAGCAAAAAGGAAUAAACGAAAUAAUAAAGACAUGAGGACCGCCUAAACUAUUGGGUCAUUCGCCAAAUGGCAACGAUCCCGCCUAAUGUUCCUAAAACCCAACGUUACAUAAGUCGGCCAGUCGCCGAUUGAUUUUGCAAUGCAUUUCCUAAUUAUUGACAAACGUUAAAGAAGUUGAAGAUGAUGAAGACCAAAGCAAAAAGGCGAUGGAACUAACUAAAUAGAGGAACGCUGAGUUGAUCGGCGUUCCCAAUUUAAUGCGCCGGACGGUCCUUCGUAAGACAUUUUUUGGCAACUACAAAUACCUUAUUUAAAUUAUUAAUUAAGGAUGUUGUUUUUAAUGUGAGUUUCAUUUGAAUAAUAAUUUUCAUUAUUCCUUAGUUUUGAGCAUAAAGACAAUAUUUUCCUUAGCUAUGAAGAUUUGAAGAAUACCAUUUCUAAGAAAUUGGAGGGGGUAUUGAAGAUUCAUUAUGUUAUAACUUUUUAAUGAUGUUAGUAAUCUUAUUCAUUUGAUGGAAAAAGAAUUUGGUAACAACUUCUAUUGGUUUAUGAUGUCUAGAAAAAACCCGAUUAUUUAAGAUGUAAUUAUGUGAUUAUGAGUUCAUUUAGUUGCUGGGUAUUAUUAAUUGAUGGUGUAAAUAUUAUUUAAAAGUUAUUUCAUUGAGUAAUUGUGUCUUAAUAUAAUGGAUUGUAGUUGCAAAUGCAAAUCUACUUUUGUAUUUUGAUCUUGCUAAAGAUAGAGGUUCUAAAACAAAAAUUUCUAAUUUGAUCGUUUGUGGGUAUUGGGUUUUGAUGGGUUUAGCUCAACAGAGUGAAUCCUAGACGCUAUUCCACACUUUUCGCUAGAAAGAAUGAUUGGACUAAAUCGAAGGUUGUUCUUAAUUGCUACUCAUUGAUGUUCUAGUGAAACCAAUUUGAUCAGAGUAAAUUGAUCGAGAUAGGUUUUAUCCAACUAAAGUCUAGAUUAUUUAUUAAUUUACAACUAUUCACUAUUAUUCACAAUUACGAAAAGUCUUACCCUAGCCUAUAAUCAAAUAACAUCCCAAGAAUCCCAUAUCCAUAUUCGUAUUUAGUGUUUAUUGUUUUAGUUGAUAACUAGAUACAAAACAACCUUUGAUAUUUGACAUGUGUACUCCCCCUAAUCUUAAAUUAUGUUUCUAUUAGUAAAUGUUUUUAGCGACGACCACAUAGAGCAUAUUCACAUUUUAUGAUUGAAUCUCAAAUAUGUACCACUCCUCUUGGGAACAAUCCCAAGCUAUUUGGUUGGGUUAUAUUACUACUCACGAUCGUUGUAGAACUUAGAAUCGUAUGAAGUGUCUUGAUACGUGAAACACUUAUGCAUAGGAUGUGAUUUGGGAGGUUCCUUAUAUUGAUUCAGUCCAUGUUCUUCAUGAUGUGUAGGUUGUCUUUCCUAUUGACAUACUGAGCCUUUCACUUUAGUGUUAUUGACUUUUCUAUUGACCUUGAGGUGGGCACUCACCCUAUAUUAAUUUUGUGUUACUAAUGGCCCAUAAAGAAUUGAUAUAUCUUAGUGUUCAUCUUCAGAAUCUCUAGGGUAAGGUAUUCAUUAGGCCCAAAAGCAAGCUAACCUCUAUAUAUUUAUUUCUUCACAAUAUUGUUGGUAAUCAAAAGAGCUUCACAGAUCUGUCAUUUCCUAUUCUUGAAAUCUAUUUUUCACUAUCCUACCAUUGGAGAUUUUUUUUAAUGAAAAAUAAUUUUGAGGAAUCAAAUUGUUUUAAAACAAAUCAACAAAAGAAUACCUUUGGUAUGUUGUGAAUUCAAUUGAGUGAAUUUAUUUAGUUUUGGUUGGAUUAAAAAAUAGGACAAACAAUAUGAUAGCACGUAAAAUUUACAUAUAAUUUUGAUGCAAUGUUGACAAAAAGUCAAGUGAUAUGCUUUAGAGCCUAAAAUCUAUGUAGAUGGGUAUUUCAAAAAAAAAAUAGAAGGAUAUAAAGUAUAUUUUCUACUUGUCAAAAUAUAAGUGCAAUUUCAACCCUUUUCAUGAUAAACUAACAAAUCUAUGUAGUCUACAAGUAAAUAAAUUAUAGCCGAAGUCUAAAAUUGAUCUAAAAAUUACAAAUAUUUAGAAAAAUAAGAAGUUUUACUUGAUUUAAAGUAGGAAAUAGAUUUGUGUUUCCAAUAAAGACGUUGAAAAUCAUUUCGCAAAUAGAAAGAUAUCAGUUCUAAGGGACAUACACAUAACCAGAAAAAAAUACGUCAAACUAGUUUCUUAAAUCAAUAUUAAAUUUUAUCGGAAACAUACAUCAAAAUGAUUUUUUAUAUUUGGAUGAAACUAAUCAAUUGUUCAAAACAUAAGAUGUAAAUUAACCUAGAAAACAAAGAAAAAUAUUCAUGUCUUAUCGGUAACAAACAAGAGUAAAUAACAAUAAAUUGAAAGUACUUAUUAAAGAACUCUUGUGAGCUAGUUGAAUGUAUUAGUUAGUGAUUUUCCUAGAGAUCUUCACAAUGUCAGAAUCAUGUAGCAACCUUUUCCCUUUUGUUUUGCAAGCAUAAAUUCACUAUUUCUUUGUCUUCGUGUUGUUUACCAUUUUCUUUAUCAGUUAGAACAUUUAUUCAAACAUGGAAAAAUUUCAUUUUCAUCGACAUUCUCGUGUAGUAUUUUCACAACCCAAGGGUACCCCGUAGACGGCACUAGGAACAUGGAACCACGGAAGGCACCAUGUAAUCCACAUAACAUAUCAUAAAAUAAGUAAAGAACAGUAAAGAGUAAAACACAUUUCAUGUCUUAAAAUGUCUUUUACAAAAGAAAUUUAGAAGUCUAAACUUGACUGAAUUAGCUAUUUAUUACAGUACUUUAGUGAAAAAUAUGGUCAUAACCCCAAAACAACAUCAUCCAAAAAGAAGUACAACAAUGAAACUUUAAUGAUUGUAUCCAUUCUCGAAACAUGAGGACUAAUCAAACGAGUAAGGAGAAUGAAAAUUCCAAGCUCUAGACAUAGUAGGGACAACCUUCUUGACUGAACCCUAAACAUUGGGAAAAUGUAGGAAAAUAUAGGUUAGUACGGAAAUGCACAAAGUAUGAUAGGCAUGCAUAAAAACCUUUAAGACAUGAUAAAAGGGACAUUGUAUUUAAAUUCAUGCAAUUUCGUAAGUCAAAGUUUCAUUUUGAAGAUAUAGGAGAGGUAUAUGUCAUAAACAUGUCCAAUAUGUAGAUCAUCAUAGCAUAAUAAGAACAUACCAUAAGUACCCUCAAAAUCUACUUGUACAAUGAGAGAAUACAAUUAAAUAAUCCUACCCAUACUAUGUAAAGUUUCUUAAGUAACUAUUAUUCAUAACUUAUAUUUUUGUUCAUACCAUAAUAAUUGAGAAUAGGACUUAACUGACAGAGACCAUAUGAGCUAAACAUGGAAUCCGGCGUCUACCACACACCGAAAAGGGGUUAUUCUACUUUCCUAAGGUAGAACUAUACUCCUAGCUUAGGUGGAUCUACUACCCAAAUAUAUAUGAGGGCAUAUAAUUUAUGGGAUAAGGGGAGUGCCAGUAGAAAAUCUAGCCUCUACUAACGUGACGGAUUCCAUCCCUAGAGAUUGGUCCUAGAAACCCAGCCUCUACUAACGUGUGAUCUUCCAUCUCAUAUCAGUAUCCACUUGGUGCUAGGAAUUAUUUAUCAUUGAAUUCAUAUUAAGUCUUUACUUCAGACUAUAAUUAUGGAGGAAUGUUUUGACACUCAAUCCAACAUAACUCAUACAAAAGAUCAGAGAUUUAAUAGGUGAGAGUAUAGUCUUCUAACCUUAGAAUCAAUUCAUGUAACAAACCAUUAACAUCAUAUCAUAUUCAUACAAAAGUGUGUACAUGAGGAUAACUUCCAAUAACACAACAAUGAGGUCAUAAUAAUCUCUCAAAGCGGUCAUAAAUCAAAUAGAUAAACCUCAUAAUAAUGCACAAUUAUCACACUUUUACCUUCAAGGAAUAUCGAUCAUACUUCCAUCAACACAUCUAAAAUCACUACACUAUACAAGGAUAUUAACAUGAUUAAAAUAACUCAACUACCACACACAUAAUCUCAUAAUAUUCUCCUAUGAUGAACAAACCCACAUCACAAGAUCAUAAUUGAGGAAUAUGGAGUUUCAUGGGUUCUUGGGUAAAUUCAACAUAAAAACUAUAUGAAAUAACAUAUAGAGUAUAUCAUCCAUUAAUCAUUAUAAAAUUUUUUUUAAAAAAACCAUUAGAUUAAAGUCAAAUCCUAACUUUUAGGGAUAUCAAUAGUUUUUAAAUUGGAUUUUGAUCCAAUGAAUUUUGUGAGAAUAACUUGGUUUUUGAACCUUAUCUCCACCUUAUUCUGACUUCUUCUUCCUUGAAGUUAUGGAGAGUAACUAAUCUUUGGAGGGGGUGAAGUUUUAGGUUUAUAUUUAGAUUCUGGGAGAUUGAUUUAACAGGGGAAAAUUUGAGUCUAAAAAUCUUAUAUACUUACAAGGGAAAGGGUAAAACAAUGUAGUAUCAGUUAAGGGAAAAUAACAAAUGACCCUUCAUACUCAGACUUUUUAGCUCGCCAAGUGGUACCUUGGCUUGCAGAAAUUUCAGGUAUCCUGAACAUGGAGACAACCUACAGGGCGAUGGGAGGGGCCUUUGGGCGAUUCGCCAGUAGGGUUGGUGAAUAUUAACCUACACAAUCCAUUUUUCUAGUAUAUAGGCCAUAGGGGACUUUCCACUAGUCGAUGCUGGCAAACUUUGUUAAGAGCCAAGUCACUUUUGCAAUGGCACUGCCCCUCAUCGAGUGGACCAAUGAAAAAAUGGUUUUCUUCACCCAUUAAAAGGUAGUUUAAGACCUUUACCCAUUUAAUGUCUAUUUACCCCCUAACCCUUAUCCCUAGUUUAACCUAGUAGGAUCCUGGGUGCUACAAGUAUUUUGCCUACUUUAUUUUAUAGUGCAACCCAUAAUUUGUAAAAGGAAGUCGUUUUUUCAAAUUUAUCAAAGUUUCAACAAACUUAGAUGCUCAUAUUUGUAAAUACACGGACCAGGUGAUAGAAAAAUAAGGCUUAUGAAUAUAAACAAAGUCUAUUCAUUAAAUAGGGUUAGCUAUGACUUUAAGGUUUACCUACAAAAGUUUUGUUUCACAAAUAUUUAUUUUUCUUUUCAUUUGUAUAUUUUUUGUAGCUGGAAUUAGUAAUUGUUGUCUUAAUAUGAGUUACCUGAUUGUUGUGUAUGUCAUCGAUUUUCAUAAAGUUAUUCCAUGUGUCAUAAAAAUAAUUUUGAGUCUCAUUUUUGUCUUGAUUGUUGUAUUAAUUUUUUUUGCACUCCUUUGCUGAUGAUUCUCUCUAUGAGAUUGAAGAUUCUCUUUUUAUUUUGUUCGAUUUAUUUUCAUUUCCACCAACCUAAAAAUUUUAAUAAUAAUUUGUUUUAUUAAAAUAAUAUAAUUCGGUGCCUUAAUGAGGGUUAAAGUUAAUAUUGUGUAAAUUGGGGAUAUAGUGUAGUUCAAAGAAUGAAAACAAUUUCUUAAAGAAAUAAUUCAAGGCAAGAGUACAUACAUAAGAUCAUUUUUGACACAACCCUUUCCUAUCCCUUAUAUUUUUGAAGUGUUUCUUUUUAUUAAAAGUGAUCCUUAAAAAGUAGUAAACUAAUUUGUCUACUUCAAAUAAAUUUGCUAAAAAAAACUUUUAUCAAUAUAAAAUAAAAUUUAGUGUUCGGAUACACAUUCAAAAAGUAAAUAGCCAAUAAUUAAUCAUAAUCUUGAAAAAUCAAAACCACUGUACUACAUAAAGUUCAUUGGUUUUUUCUAGAAAGAUGACCAUGAUGAUUAUCAUUAUCAAAGAAAAUUCAUGCAAUGUAAAAACUUACCAUGACCUCAAUUAUUACAUUGGUUAGUGGCUGAACAUCUUCUUUGCAGUUCUCAAGACUUUCGAAGAUAUAUCUUCUUAAAUCCUAAUAGAUCGCAACAUUGUAUGUUUGCUCUCAUAGAAGUAAAAUUGCAAUCCAAGACGAAUUUCCUUUAUUUUCAUAUGGGAUUACAUUAUAAAUAAUUAAAAUCACAAUAUUACAAAAUAAAUAAUAAUAAUAAUCAUAAAAACCACGUUUGAUAAUUUUGAAUACGUACAAAACAAACGGUGCCUUAAUAAAUGUUUUUGAAAUACAUAAUAAAUGGGAAAUUAAGUAUAACUAAGUUCUAACUCUAUCAAAAAUAAUUUUACUACAUCUUUAUUGUCAAUUAUUACAUAAAAAAUAGAACAUAUCGAAGGUUCAUUUAAAACCUUCAUUCAAAACUUAAUUAUUCCAAGUAUAAAGCUUCUACAACUCAAAACUGACAUAAAACUGAACCAAAUACCUCUAUAAGCAUAACACCAAAACCUGCACCACACAUAAGAUAUAUAGAAGAUACAGGAAGGGGAAAAUUAGAAAAGUCACAGUUAGAAAAUAGGAGGGAUGUUGGGAAAAGAUACCUGAUCACCCUAAAGAAAAUUUUUGAAAAAAUAAGGAACAAGAGUCCUCUAGAAUGUAACGAGACUCACCAACAUACUUCGAGUUCUCAGCUGCGUCAAGAGGCACUACUUACUCAUCCUUUUUACUUGCGCUCAGAAUAUGAUGUAGACCAACUGAAAUCAGUACAUUAAUGUAAAAGUAUGCGAGUUGAAUGCUCAACAAAACACUUCUCAAAUUAGGAAUAAGUUAUCCAAAAAUAAAACAAUGAAAGACAUGCAAUAUAUGAAAAGCAUUAUAAAACAACUCAGUUAAUUAAAUAUCAUGCAGUAACAAAUUAAAGUUUACUUACAUAAUACUGUUAUACAGUUUAUGUUGGAGUUUCUCUAACUGACAACCACCCCUAUUAGGCUAAGUGGGUGACAGAAUGUCUUUCCCAUGCUUUAAUAAUUGUCUUAUACUUUGUCAUCAUAUAAACCGCUUAAAUUUGUGGACCCACUAGCUUAUUUAGAAGCAUAUUAAGGAAUCAUCUAAGUAUGAUUCUUUACUACUAUUGAUGCCUACAUGGUAUAUGGAGACAUGAGUUAAUAUGAACUCGCAUCCCCAUAUUUUUGCUCAAUACUACUCCCAAAAUAUACUUAGCUCACGUGCUUGUAAAAACAAAAGUCUUUCUGUGGUUUGAGAUAAUUACACAAAGCAUAGCUUAAAAGCUCUCUUUUAACCGAUGUUCUCUUUCAUUCUCAAAUGUGAACCUAUUUUAAACUUCACGAGAGUACAUAGUUCCCAUAUACUUUUUUGAACAAAUGAACUUCAAGACUUUACUCUUUGCUUAAUUUUGAACUUAAGUCUUAAAAUAAAACAGAAACGUUUGUGAAAGACUUUUGAAAUUUUUAUAAACUUCUCUUGAAUUGUUUCUUACCUUCUAAAGAAUACUCUUAACUCUCCAUGAAUUGAAUUAUUGAUUGAAGGAUUAUGAUUUGUGAUAUAAAGAUCUAGUGAUGCUUAGGAAUGUGUUUUUAUAGCUAAACAUUAGAAAAGUCAUGAUAUCAACAUCUUGGAACAAGUCUGCAACCCAAAGUUGCAUUAAAUAUUUUUCGGCGAAAUUUAGUUGUAUGAUUGCUGGUAGAUUUAGGUGUAUGUUAUGUUUUCGUGAAGAAUAUGAUUAUGUUUGUGCACUUGAAAUCGUGCGAAAGACAACCAUGUGUUUGAAAUUAUGUGCAAGUGUGUGUGGAAGCUUGUUGUAGUGACUAAGGUCCUCGGGUUAAGGCUCCAAAUUCGGUAAUGUUAUGGUUGCUAUUUUACAUGCAAAAACCUAUAUAAAUAGUGAUGUUGAUUACAAAUGAAUGUAUGGCUGAUUGGAGAACCAAUCUUUUGGGUAAAUGAUUUUAUUAAAAAAUUCACUCCAAAAUGUAGCAAAACGUUCUAUGAAUUUCCCUAAGAGUUCAUGUGAAAGUAUUGGUGAAAAUAAGAUGAAAAAUGAUUAGAAUUCCAGCAAACCUACAAGUUUUUUUAGUCUAAAUAAUGAUGUAUAAAUCUGGAAAUUAUUUUAGUGGAAAUGGAUGACGCCACAAGGAUAUGAACCUGUGACCUCACCCGUAUAAUUCUUUAAAUACGUUAAAAGGGAAAUGGGGUCAAGGGGAAUUGAUCUUGGGUGGGCUGGCUGAAAGUAAAGUACAAAAAAAUAAUAAAAAUAAAAUGGGAGGCAUGGGAAUCGAACCCACGACCUCAUGUCAGCGAGUGGGAGAGAGGGAAAAUAAAAAAAAGAAAUAUGCGGAGUAGGAAUCGAACCCACGACCUCAAGGCAGUGAAGGGAGUUAACAGAAAAAUGUAGAUAAAAAAAAAGAGAGGAUGUGGGCAUUUUAUCCCACAACCCAUGCUCUAUGCGAAUUGUAGAAGGAGAAUUAAAUGAACAAAAUAAAUGGGGUAGUGGGGGUUCGAUCCCACAAGCCCUCGGCAAAUUAAGAGGAUAUUCCAAGGAGAUAAAUAAAGAGGGAAUGUUGAUGUUGGGGCUCCAUUUAGGGUCCCAAUAUCAUGUGUACUAAAAUCAAAAUCAAUGAAAAAUGUACGUGUUGUCCUGGGUAUUCGAACUUGGGUUCCCUUGCCCAAAUUCCAUAUUGAUGCGUAAGUCAUACGUGAAUUAAAUGUUCAAUAAUCAUGCCACCUACUUAGAUCGAAAUUGAGAUCUUGCCAUACAUACAAGAUGCAGAAGUCUUGUACUACAUAAUCUUAGGAAGAUAUGAGUCACUUAACCAACUAUGAAAGAAGCCUCAUUGCUUGUAAGUAUAGAACCAUAAGUCUAGCAUACGGUUAAAAAUAAGUGAACCUAAGAUGUAUGUAAUGUAAUGAUGAAACCCUAGAACGACUAAGUAAGAGUGUGAAAAACACAAAUGGCCAAGUGCAUUGUCAUAUGAUUAAAUGAACAUUCACGUAAAAAGGGGUGAGUAAUUAUGAAGAGAAAAUGUUCUUACGUUAAUGAAUGUGGUGACAACAUGAUAUGAGACUAAUGUAAAAGAUGAGAACAAUAUCAAAUGUGACUCAAUAAAUGUUACGAAAACGUACUAUCCUAUGAGAGUGUAAAGUUAAAGAAGAGACUAGUCUCUAUCAAUACUCUUAUGAAAGUAUUGAUAUUAACACAUUUAAUACUAAUGAUGAGAUGAGAGAUCAUCUAUUCAUCUAUGAUGUCCUCGUACUAGAAGCCAGCUUCCAUGAUGUAUGAGUUGAAUGUAAUAAAACUUUACAAUGAGCACCAAUACACUAGCUAUGAGCGGUGAUGCCUUCUUUAGGAAAGGGCAGAGGUUAACAUAAAUUUCAUGUGAUGAUAUUGUCCGGCAUGCUGGGCAUGGCUUUCGUUAUUUCUCCUAGUCUUCGAACCUAUACUUCCAAUAUAGGGAUCUGGCGGGGUUCAACUCCCAUAUGCACUAGCAUGUUUUUUGUCACUUUGGCCGGUGAUUUUACAUCUUUUCGGUGUGAGGGAGACACAUGAUUUCAUGAUGCUCAUAGAUAAAAUUCCCAAUGAAUGAAUGAGGACAACCUUAAAUGAUGCACAUAAUGAAAUAAAUGAUACCAAAGGUGUUAGGACAGGAUGAUCAGGAUGUGAUCUAGCCUUAAGUAAUAACACUAGGUCAUUCUUGAUCAUUGCACAGUAAACCCGAUAAAAGUCAUAAACUACAUCCUAGGUAUAGCUGGUGUUUACACUAGCCUAUGAGAGAAAUGAAAUGAAGUACAUUAAUGAAUGAAGUAGGCUCUGUGUUUGCUAAAGAAGGCUCCCUAGUUGAGUUCCCAUAUGUAAGUCCCUCAUUUUAAGAAGUCAUGAUGUUAAGUCCGUGAUUCCCAGGUCUCAUAGCAUAUGAACGAAUGAUAUGAAAAAUGUUAUGUUCUAUAUACUCUAUGUUAUGUGCUAUGUGUAAGAUUUUAAGUGAUGUGUGCAAUAUGAUAAGUAUGAUGAUCCAUGUUACUCUUAUGGCAUGACUUUCUAAUCCAAAUUUGGAAAACUCACUCACUUUCCCAAUCCAAAUCUGGAAAGCUAACUAACUUUCCAAAUCAAAAUUUGGCAAGUCCACUGACUUGACUUUCCAUAAUCAUGUCUUUAGGAAAGAGCUAUUCUUAGUCAUGCAUUUCCUUGGAGUAUUGUUGCAUAUACACAGACAUAGUACAAGUGUGUAAUAACCGUAUAAAACUCUACAAAUUUAGGUGGAGGAACAGGUAGACGCUAGAGCUGCAGUUUGAAGUUGUUUCUCUCUGAACAUGAAGCAUUCAUCCGGACUUGGUAGGCCAUUAUGCUUUCGAGGAGUCAAGAAAAUUAUAUUCUAAAUUAGUUAUAUGAUUGAGCUAGUGGAGUAUGUUCCACUAGAUAUUCUUUCCUUUUUAAUUAGACAUUGUAUUGGUGCCAUUUUGGCAAGUAUACAUUUAGUGAUAUAUUCAACUAUUUAUUUCAUUUGAUGAUCUUAAUGUUAGAUGGUUGAUGGAGAAAAAUUAUGAAUAUAAUAGAAUGAUUAGUAUUUAUGUUAACAAAAAAAAUUUUCAAAUUAUUUGCUAAAAUUAACCUAGACGAAGUAAGAAUGACAUAAGUAUAUGCGACCUCUAAGAGGUCAACUACGCCGGUCUAGUCUUGGACUAGACUACGAUCGUGGAAAAGUUUAUAUCAGAGCACUAGGUUAAAUUCCUAGGAUAAUAGUUCACAUCAAGCACAUUCAUUAGUUUCUAAGUCAUGGUAUUGAAGUGCAACACUACCCUUAAUUAGAGACUAUAUGAUGCGUAUAAAAAUUUCCCUUCCUCUAAUCUUAUCGUGCUUUUCCUAAUGUCUGAUUUCUUGGUGUGAUGAGCCUGUCUAACAUCAAUUCUUGUUGUUUUCAGAGAAUGUAUACUACUAGAAACGUUGGUCAGAGGAGAAUCGGUGCAGCUUUUGGAGGCAAUCAAGUUCCACCCCAGGCUCUAGCUGAGGGAGUGGGUAUGUUGGUUAACCCAAUUAGGUUGAAUGAUGUGGAGGCGCGGGCAUCUCUGGCCCAGAUAGCAUAAAAAAUCACCAUGAAGGCUCAUGGUAUGACUGCCUAGGUACACCGACAGUAUGUUUAGAGGGAGAAUCCACCGGUAUGUAGCAUGGGUGGUAGGUUGAGAGAUUUCACGAGGAUGAAUCAUCCUAUUUUCACAUGAUCUAAGAUUUUAGAGAACCACCAAGAGUUCAUGGAUAAGUUGCAUAAGUUUUUGGUGUCUUCAAGGGCCACAUAUAUCGAGAACGCGUAGUUGGCUUCCUAUCAGCUCAAGGAUGUUUCACAAACUUGGUGUAAGAUAUGGAAGGAUAGCCGAGCUUAGGGCAGAGUUAUGGUCACUUGGGAGCUGUUUAAGACAAUUUUCCUGGGUAGAUUCUUUCCCAGGGAGAUGAGAGAGGAAAAAGUUGAGGACUUUAUGAUCCUUAAGAAGGGAUCAAUGACAGUCAUGGAGUAUUCCCUGAAGUUUGUUAAACUAUCACGGUAUUCUACUUCCCUUGUAUCCAAAAGCAGGGAUGAGAUUAGUAGGUCCCUCAUGAGAAUCAAUGGAAAUCUGGAGGAGGAGUGUCGGUCUGCGAUUCUCCAUGAUGACAUGGACCUCUCAAGGUUGAUUGUGCUUGUCCACCAGGUAGAGGACAUCCGCAAAAAGAGGGGUAUUGGUGAUGCUAGGAGACCUAAGCCUCAAGAUCAAGCAGGUCCACCAUGGAGGCCACAAAAACAUUUUGGCGCCCUUGAGCAGCCCAGGUUCAAGAAGGGGAAGCAGAGUUCUGGAAACUCUAAUUCUCAAAGGAGUACAACACCUAGAGGAGGAAGACCUAAGCCAAAUAAGGGAAAUGAAGGUGAGAUGCAGAGGCAUAAAAAGAACUAUGGUAUGUGUGGCCGUGCUCACCGUUGUGAGUGCAAACAGGGUACUAAUGUCUUCUUUUGUUUCAGUAACAGUGGGCACAUGGUUAGAGACUUCCCAUAGAACAGAGGUCAGGGUGGAGGUAAUUUUAAGCUUAGGCCUAAUCCACAGGGUUCAGCAGCAGCCGAGACUCUUAAGAGGACAAAAUUAUAUGCCCUGAAUGGUAGGAAGGAAUAGGAGAAGUCCACUAAUGUGGUCAUAGGUAUGCUGCAAGUAUUCCCAACCUCUUUUUAUUCUUUCAUUGAUCCAGGAUCUACGUUUUCCUUUGUAACUCCUUUGCUUCCUCUCACUUUUGAGAUAUUACAUGAAGUUGAACAUGAUCCUACAGUGGUUAGUACACCUUUAGGACAAAAUAUAUGUACUGAUAUAUCAUACAAGGAUUGCAAAAUAGUUGUAAGUGGUAAGACUAUGCGUGCAGACUUGGUUGACUUACCGAUACAUGAUUUGAUGUUAUUCUUUGCAUGGACUGACUUGACAAUUGUUAUGUUUUUUUGGAUUGUCAUUGUUGAGUGGUUAUAUUUUGUUUCCCUAAUGACGAGGACCUAGUUUAGGAGGGGUAUAACUCGAGUCGUCCUAAUGCCUUGAUUUGGAACCUUAAGGCCAAUAAAAUUAUGUCCAAGGGGUUAUUAUGUCAUAUUGUUAGUGUUAAUGAUUUACAUCAUGACAUUCGUUUAAUAGAUUCAAUGCCUAUGGUAAAUUAGUUCGUAGAUGUAUUUUCUGAUGAUUUUCGUGGAGUCCCUCCCCCUCGAGAGAUUGACUUUGGUAUCGACUUAGAACGCGAUACUAAACCAAUUGCAAUUCCUCCCUACAAAAUGACUCUAGCUGAACAUAAAGAGUUGAAGCAGCAGUUAAAAGAUUUAACUGAUAAGGGUUUCAUCCAGCCGACCAUAUCCCCUUGGUGUGCUCCUGUGUUUAUUGUUAAAAAUAAGGAUGGAACUCUUAGAAUCUGUGGCAGCUCAACAAAGUCACUAUUAAUAAUAAGUAUCCACAUAUCAGAAUAGAUGGCUUGUUUGACCAAAUCAAAGGAUCUAGCUUAUUUUAUGAAAUUGACCUUAAUUCAGGGUACUAUUAACAUAGGGUUAGGGAUGAAAAUAUUCCAAAGACAGCCUUCCGUUCCCGUGAUGGUCACUAUGAGUUCUUAGUUAUGUCAUUUGGUCUAAAAAAUGCAGCUGCUGCAUUUAUGGAUCUCAUGAACAAGGUCUUAUGUGAGUACCUUGACUCUUUAGUCAUAAUAUUCAUUGAUAACAUUCUCGUCUACUCUAAGACCAAGGAAGAGCAUGAACAACAUUUGAGACUAACGUUGCUGGUACUAAGACAACAACAGAUGUAUGCCAAAUUAAACAAGUGUGAAUUCGGGAUGAGAUCAGUGACCUUCUUGGGUAAUGUUGUGUCCGACCAAAGUGUAAAGGUGGAUCCUAGGAAGACUGAGGCUGUUAAGAACUGGCCAAAACCCCUUACUCCAAAGGAUAUCUGUAGCUUCUUGGGAUUGGCACCGCAGGUUUGUAGAGGGCUUUGCUUCCAUUGUUGCCCGACUGACAGCUUUGACGAAGAAGAAUGCAAAGUUCGAGUGGAUGGAGACUUGGGAGAAGAGUUUCCAAGAGCUCAAGGACACAAGUUACUUCAGCCCAGGUUCUUACUUUACCUAAGUGUAGUGAGAGUUACAUUGUAUAUUGUAAUGCAUCUAGGGUUGGUUUAGGUUGUGUUCUUAUGCACGGUUGUAAGGUGAUAGCUAAUCCAUCCAGACAUCUAAAGGUUCAAGAGAUUUAGUAUCCCACUCAUGAACUGGAGUUGGCAAUUGUGGUGUUUGCAUUGAAGCUGUGGAGGCACUGCUUGUAUUAUGUGUAUAUGGAUGUGUUCAUAUACCAUAAUAGUCUCCAAUAUGUGUUCAUACUGAGGGAGUUUAAUCUACGUCAGUGAAGAUUGUUGGAGUUGUUGAACGAAUAUGACAUUUAUGUUAACUACCGUCAUGAUAAGGCUAAUGUUGUAGCUGAUGCUUUGAGAAGGAACAACAUGGAAAGUACAGCCCACGGUGAGGAUGACAAGAAGGAGUUGGCGAAAGAUGUACAGAGACAGGAAAGACUAGGUGUGUGAUUGGUUGAGUCUACUAGUGGGGAUGUUUCAGUUAAUCCUAUUUCUUAAUCAUCCUUGGUAGUUGAAUUCAAGAAGGUUUGUAUCUUGAUCCUGUGUCGAUGGAGCUUAAGGACUCAGUGUUGAUAAUGAUGAAUGAGUCUUUCACUUUUGGAGGUGACGACAUUCUUAGGUAUGCGUACAAGAUAUUGAUGAUUUGCAUACCAGGAUUGUUGCAAAGGCCUAUGGUUCCAGAUAUUCCAUACAUGUAGGUUUCACCAAGAUGUAUCGUGAUCUUAAGAAGAUUUAUUGGUGGAAUGGAAUGAAUAUGUGUCAAGGUGUCUUAAUUGUCAGUAGGUUAAGGCAGAACAUCUUAAGUCUGACGGUCUUACUCAGAUUUUUGAGGUUCCAAAUUGGAAGUGUGAGACCAUUAAUAUGGACUUCAUGGUUGUUCUACAGAGGACUAGGAUACACCAUGACUUCAUAUGGGUUAUUUUGGACAAGAUAACUAAGUCUGCCAACUUUAUUCCUGUGAAGUCUACUUACAGAGCCGAGGAUUAUGCGAGACUCUUCAUUGAUGAGAUUGUGAGAUGGUAUGGGAUUACUUUUUGUGUCAUUUCACAUAGAGGAGCUCAGUUUACUUCACUUGUCUAGGGAUCUUUCCAGAAGAUCUUAGGCACGCAGGUAAAGCAUAGUACUGCCUUUCAUCCUUAGACUGAUGGUUAGGGAGAGCGCACCAUUGAGAAAACGGAGAUAUGUUAAGAGCUUGUGUGAUUGAUUUCACGGGCAGGUGGAAUGACCAUUCUCCUUUGAUAUACUUCUCGUAUAAUAAUACGUAUCACUCAAACAAUGGGAUGGCACCGUUUGAGGUAGUGUGUAGUUGGAGGUGUAGAUCUCCAGUUUGAUGGUUUGAGAUUGGAAAUUCAUCGAUUUUGGGCCGUGAGAUUAUUUAUGAGGCCUUAGUGAAGGUCAGAGUGAUUAGGGACAGGUUGGAUACUCCUUGAAGUCGGCAGAAGUCAUAUGCAGAUAACAGAAAAUGGGCCUUAGAGUUUAAUGUUGGUGACCAGGUCAAUCUGAAGAUAUCACCCAUGAACAGGGUAAUGAGGUUUGGCAGGAACGGGAAGUUGAGUUCAGGGUACGUUGGUCCAUACGAGAUACUAUAGUGUGUGGAUGAGGAGGCCUAUGAGUUGACAUUACCAGCAGAGAUAGCUUUUGUCCAUCCAGUCUAUCAAGUAUCCAUGUUAAAAAUGUGCCUAGUUGAUCCAUAACCGAUUCUACCUGUUGAAGGCUUGGGGUCGAUGAAGACUUGUCCUAUAAUGAGGUACCUGUUGAGAUCUUAGACAGACAGAUCAAGCAGUUGAGGAACAAACAGAUUGCCACAUUGAAGGUAUUGUGCAUAAGUCAUCUUAUUGAGGGUGCUACGUGGGAGAGUGAGGCUGAUAUGAGAUCCAGCUAACCUCAUCUUUUCCUCUUUUGAGGUUAGACUUCGUACUCCUAAGUAUAAGUUUCCUUAUCUCCCUAUUUUUGUUGCUAUUGCUUAACUAUGCAUAGUGAUUAUCUUAUGGUCUUACUGGCAUUACGCUAGAUAGUACUAGUUUCAUUCCGAGAUAAAUGUUCCUAAGGGGGGAGUAAUGUAACAACCCUUAAAAUGGAUAAGAUAAGAAAUACUUAAUUUGUCAAGAAUGCCUAUGAUUAGACGAGGGUUCACACAGAUUGAUGCGCAUAGAACAAGACCGUGGAACCCUUACUAAAACAAAGACAACUAACUUGGGGAGUCAAUUGAGCUUGGAAAUGUUGUGCCCAACCAUGUAGGGCUCUCGAAUAUGAAUAUUUACUCAAACGAGUCUUUACCAGACUUAAAAUGAGGAAAUCUUAUGUUUGAAGGGUCUAGGGAUAAAAUGGUCUUUUCCUUGCUAAGGGUAUUUAAUUAAUAAGGUGGAGGGGUAGUUUGGGGAGAGAGGGCAAAGAUUGGGCUCUUUGAGUGAAGUCUUGCUCCGCCCGUGUUCGAACCUAGGUGGGAGCAAUGAAUUAAAAUGAUUUACAUUUAAGCUAUUGAAUUAAUGUAAUUAAUUAAUAAUUAUUAUUCAUUAGCUGAUAUAAAAAUUAAUUGAAAAUCAGAUUUUUAUUAAAUAAAAAAAAACCUUAUUGACUAAGUCCUAAAACUAGACUCAUAAGCCUCCUACAACUCCCACUCUCUCACGUUUAUCUCUCCACUCUCACGCUAAAUCUCUCUUCUUCUUUCUCAUGUAUUGUCUUUGCAAAAAUAAGAGGCAAGAGCAGAAAAAUAAAGUAAGUUCUUCACACUUGAAGAACUCACACAAAAUCACAAGAAAACAAAUGUUAAUCGGAAAUUAGGCUAAGGGAGGUUGUCAUUCGAGUGGAGUUGACAUUGAGGAGGCUUAGACGUGCUCCUGGGUGAAGCUUUUGGGCAGCAAGUCUAUGGUUUAACGUUAAACAGGUAUGGUUUCUCUUCUCUCUUUGUCCAUUUCCAAAGGAACCCCUUAAUGUUCAGAUUAUUUAGUUAGAAAACUAGGAAUGUUCCCCUUGCAUGCCUCUGUUACUAUCUCCCAAUGAAUCUUAGGUUGGGUAUGAUGGCUGGUAAAUUUAGGUGAGUGUUAUAUUUUCGUGAUGAAUAUGAUUAUGUUUGUGUACUUGAAAUCGUAUCAAAGGCAACCAUGUGUUCGAAAUUAUAUACAAGUGUAUGUGUGCAAGGAUGUAAUAGUGACUAAGGUCCUCGGGUUAAGGAUCCAAAUUUUGUAGUGUUAUGGUUUUCAUUUUACAUGAAUAAAGCUAUAUAAAUUGUGAUGUUCAUUAAAAAUGAAAGCAUGGCUGAUUUAAGUACCAAUCUUUUGGCUAAAGGAUUUUAUAAAAAAAAUUCACCCCAAAAUUUAUUAAAUGUUCUAUGAAUUUCCCUAAGAGUUCAAGGGAAUGUUUUGGUGAAAAUAAGAUGAAAAAUGAUUGACUUUCCAUCAAACCUACAUGUUUGGUUUAGGCUAAAUAAUGAUGAAUAAAUCUUCAAAUUGUUUGUGUGUAAAAGGAUGAGGCCAUAAUGAUUCGAACCUGUGUCCUCACCCGUAUAAGCCUUAGAAACAUUAAAAGGAAAAUGGGGUCAAGGGGUAUAUAUCUUGGGUGGGAUGGCUAAAAGUAAAGUACAAAAAUUAAUAAAAAUAAAAUGGGAGGCAUGGGAAUCGAACACACGACCUCUAGUUAGCGAGUGGGAGAAAGGGAAAAAUAAAGGAAAUGAAAUGUGAGGCGGCGGGAUUGAACCCACGACCUUAAGGUUGUGUAGGGAGUUAAGAGAAAAAUGUAGGUAAAAAGAAUUGUGAGGCGUGAGAAUUGAACCCACGACACAUAGACCUCAUGGUCUAUGUGAAUUGUCCGAGGAAAUUUAAACGAAAAAAUAAAAGGGGUUGUGCGGUACGAUCCCACGACCCCUCGGCCAAGUAGGAGGAGAUUCCAAGGAGAUAAAUAAUGAGGGAAUGUUGAUGUUGGGGCUCGAUUUAGGGUCCCAAUGUCAUGUGCAAUAAAAAGAAAAUUAAUGAAAAAUUUAUGUGUUGUCCAAUGGAUUUAAACUUGGGUUCCCAUGCUCAAUUUCUGUAUUGAUACAUAAGUCACACGUGAAUUAAAUGUUCAAGAAUAAUUCCACCUACUCAGAUCGAAAUCAAGAUCAUUGCAUACAUACAAGAUAGAGAAGUCUUGUACUACAUAAUCUUAGGAAAAAUAUGAGUCACUUAAGGAACUAUGAAAGAAGACUUAUGGCUUGUAUGUAUAGAUCCAUAAGUCUAGAAUACAUUUAAAAAUAAGUAAACCUAAGAUGUUUGUAAUGAAAUGAUGAAACCUUAGAAGGGUUAAGCAAGAGUGAGAAACACACAAAUGGCCAAGUGGAUUGGCAUAUAAUGAAAUGAACAUUCACGGAAAAAGGGGUGAGUGAUUAUGAAGAGCAAAUGUGAAAAUGAUAAUGAAUGUGGCGAGAAAAUGAUAUGAGGCAAAUGUAAAAGAUGAGAACGAUCUCAAAUAAGCCUUAGUAAAUGUUACAAAAACGUACUCACAUAUGAGAGAGAGUUAAUGAAGAGACCAGUCUCUAUGAACACUUUAAUGAAAGCAUUUAGAUUAACACACUUAAAGCUAAUGAUGAGAUGAAAAAUCCUUUAUUUAGCUAUGAUGUUCUCAUACUAAUAGCAAUCUCCAGUGAGGUAUGAGUUGAAUGUAAUGAAACUUCAUAAAGAGCACCGGUUUACUAGCUAUAAGCGGUGAGGCCAUAUUUCGGGAAGGGUGAAGGUUCACGUAAAUCUCAUGAGAUCAGAGUGUCUAUCAUGUCGGGUAUGGGUUUCCUUAUAUCUCUUAGUCUUUAAACCUAUACUCCCAAUAUAGGGAUCUAGUGGGGUUCAAUUCUUAUGGACGCUUGCAUGUUUUGGGUAACUUUGGCCGGUGAUUCCACAACUUUUCGGUGUGGGGGUGACACUGGAUUUCAUAGUGAUCACAUGAUCUAUGUUGGUUAAAGUUAAAGUUCCCAAUGAAUGAAUUAGGGAAGCCUCAAACGAUGCACAUAAUAAAAUGAAUGAUACCAAAGGUGUUAGGAUAGGAUGAUGCUGAGGUAAGCGACUUAAGAAAUAACAGUAGAUUAUCUUGAUCAUUGCACAACGAACCCUAUGAAAGUCUUAAACUACAUCCUAGGUAUAGCUGGUGUUUAGACUAGCCUAUAAAUAAAUGAAAGAAGUACGUAUUAAUAAAUGAAGAAAACUUUGUGUUUGCUAAAGAAGGAUCCCUAGUUGAGGUCCCAUAUGUUGAGCCCUAAUUUUGGGAAUCCUUGAUGUCAAAUUCAUGAUUUCAAGGUCUCAUGGCAUAUAAAUGAAUGAUAUGAAAAAUAAUAUGUGCUAUAUGCAAUAUGUUAUGUGCUAUGUGUAAGAUGUUAUGUGUUGUGUGCAAUAUGAUAAAUAUGAUGAUGCAUGUUGCUCUAAUGGUAUGACUUUCCUAAUUAAAAUUCGGAAAGCUCACUCACUUUCCUAAUCCAAAGCUGGAGAGCUCACUAACUUUCGUAAUCCCAAUUUGGAAAAUCCAUUGACUUGACUUUCCAUAAGCAUGUCGUUAGGGAAGAGCUAUUCUUACUGAUGCAUGUCCUUGGUGUGUGCUUGCAUAUACCCAUACUUAGUACAAGUGUGUACUAAUACUAUACAACUCUACAAUUUUAUGUUUGGGCACAGAUGAACGCUAGAGCAUCAAAUUGACGUUGAAACUAUCCGGACGUGGACCAUUCAUCCAUACUUGGUAGGACCUCAUGCUUUUGAGUAUGCUUUCCCAUUAUAUUCUAGAUUAGUUAUAAUAUUGAGCUAGUGGAGUAUGUUCAACUAGCGUUUAUUUCCGCUGUUGUUCAGACAUUGUAUUAAUGCCUUUUUUGCAAGUAUACAUUUAUUGCUAUGUUAAUGGUUAAAAAUUAUGAAUAUAAUAUAAUCGUUAGUAUGUAUUUAAAGAAAUAAAAACUUUCAACUUUUCCGCAAAAAUUAAUCCAGACGAAUUAACAAUGACAUAAGUAGGCUUGUGUGCGACCUUUGUAAGGUCAACAACACCAUUCUCUUCUGGGUUUAGUCGUGACAUUUCUAAAUUUUUGAUGAAGUCUAUAUUAAUCAUCUGCCAGUUACAUUCAGGAAUAUCUAUAUUCUAAGAAAAACUACGGGCCUUUGAUACUAUACUUUAUUUGUUUGAUAUAUGGGCACUUAGCCACAAACUCUACAGUUCCCUUCUUCAUACUACUCCACCAAUAAAACUCUCUCGAAUGCAAUUCAUCUCUUUGAAACCUUGAUAUAUGGAAUAUCUUCAGUUAUGAGCGACAUGCAUGAUCCCCUCAUGGAUAUUAUCCACUCUAAGUAGACAAAAUCUACCUCGAUACCAAAACACACUCCCGUGUACUCAAAAGCCAUUACUUUUUGCUUUUGGAAACUUGCCUUCAAUUUAAUAAAUAUGGGAUCUUUGUCUUGGUUCUCUUUUACUUCUUACACUAAUGAUGAUUCACCCUCAUUUAUGACAACAUUCCUCCUUCUGUAGGAUUCAUUAAUCAGACUCCCAAGCGUGAAAGUUUAGGCACAUAUUAAGCUAAACCUCUCUUUUCUUCCUCAACAUGGGCAAUACUAAUCACAAAAAAACUGCAUAAAGCAUUACCAACAACAUUAGUCUUACCUAGGUGGUAAAGAACACUCAUUUCAUAAUCCUUGAGUAACUCUAAUCAUCUCCUUCGUAUAAGAUUCAACUCUUUCUUAGUAAAUAUUGAUGAAUCUUCUGAUCGGUGAACACAUCUACAUGCAUACCAUACAAAUAAUGACGUCAUAUCAUCAAAGACAAUACUACGUCAGCCAACUCUAUGUCAUGGAUUAGGAAAAGAUUCUGAUGUAACUUCAACUUUCUGGAGGCAUAAGCUAUAACCUUGAAAUUUUGCAUUAAUAAGGCGCAGCGCAAACUGGAUCUUGUUGCAUCAAAAUACAUUACUAACACAUGAGCACCUUGUAGAAUUGUCAAUACUUGGUAGUAGUCAACCUCUUUUUCUAUUCCUAAAAGCUUUUCUCAUAAUCUUCAUACAUAUAACUCCUUAACUUUGAAAUUUUGAAGGAAUAUUCUGAGAUUGCUAUCAUGAUCUUCUUCAUUCCUUCAAUAGAUUAGUGUAUUAUCAAUGAAGAAUAUAAUAAGUAUAUUUAAAUAAGGUUUUAAAACACUAUUCAUAAGGUCAAUGAAUGUUGAAGGUGCAUUAGUUAAACCGAACGAUAUGACCAGAUUCUCAUAAUAACCAUAACAACUCCUGAAUUUUGUUUUUGGAACAUUACACUCCCUUACUUUCAAAUUAUUAUAGCAAGAUCUAAGAUCUAUCAUAGAGAAACAUGAAGCAUCCCGAAGCUUGUCAAAAAGAUCAUCAAUCCUCGGAAGACUAUACUUGUUCUUUAUGGUAUCCAUUUUCCACUGACGGUAAUCUAUACAUAUCCUAAGGGAACCAUAUUUCUUUCUCAUAAAUAAGUUAGGAUUGUCCAAAGGUGAUACACUUGGUCAAAUGAAACACUUAUCAAGAAGUUCUUUCAACUGUUCUUUAAGCUCCUUGGACUCUACUAGUGAAUUUUUGUACGGCAGAAUAGAGAUAGGACUAGUAUUUGGAAGAAUGUCUUUGACAAUUUCUAUCUCUCUUUAAGGAUGGAAUCCUUGUAGAUCAUUAGGAAAGACUUAUAGAAACUCUUUUUGUACUGAAACAGACUGAUUAAGAGGUAUCUCAAUGCUAGAGUCAUUAACUAUGACUAAGUGACAAAGACUACCCUUCGAAACUAAAUUUCUUACCUUAGUACGAAAUGGAACAAACCUUCAGCAUUACGGAACUAUUCUUCCAAUCUAAGACUAUUAAUUGUUUGUGGACAAAUAAAAAGCUAAACAAAUCCAAAAAAGGGAAGGAUCAAAAUUUGUAGGGGUUUUAAGCUUGUUUUUAGGAAUAUGAUGGUUGUAAUUUCAUAAUUUUUUGUCUGUUUAUUAUUGAUUUGAUAUGAUACGUAUAUGUAUGUUAAUGUUGUAUUAUUGAUCAAAGUAAUGUGUAUGAGAUUGACGAGUGAUGAAUGUUAUGAAUCAUGACUUGAUUGUAUGAUUUUGAAAAUAUAAAUCUGAUUUUGGCUUGUAGAAUGGAUUGAGUGUUUUACUACGACAGACUAACUUUGAUUGGUUGCCACGUUUUAGAAUAAAUAUAGGAUAGGUUGCCACAUUUGGACCCAAACAUUAUAUCACGUAACAUGUUCCAAUAUUUUAAUAGUUUGGUUUUGGGUUCCAUUAGAGGAUCAAUGAGUUGAUAUAAUUAUGUAGCUUUUGAAUCUGACAUUGUACGGAGUUCUUAAAUAAUGAUGAUAAUUGUAUAUGUUUGGUGUAUGUUUGUAUUGUUAUGUUUUAACGACUUUGGUAUGUUGCUCUUAGUGGUAUAGCUAUGUGAUCCUACUAUUAAAUUGUGGUUAUGUACUAUAUCACUUUCUCUUUCUUUAUUGAGUAGAGGGCACCUUCAGGCCCCUCGCCAAGAAGAUCAAUUACCGUUUGAAUUUAAGGGUGAGCCUAUUUUCGGGCUGCCAUGUGUUAUCUUUUUGUUUAUGUCAAUAUUUCCAACUUAGACUUUCUAGUUAGUUAUUAGUGCAUUAGUUUUUGGUUAAACCCUUCUUCUCCAGACUUAUGGAUCUUGGUAUAGGUUUGGUACAUUGAUGUCCAAUUUCUAGGCGUACCUCCUAUAGUUGUUUAGUUUUUAGACUUUUUUUGGAGUUUAUGGAAACUCCAUAUUUCCUUUUUUUUAGAGUUACUUAAAUGCCUUAGUAUUUUUACUGGAUUUGGUUAGCUAAAUAGUAUUAAUAGUUCGACGACUGAACAGUAAGUGUGGGUUUGAAUCAUGAUGGUCUGGGUUGUGAUAAAAUUUGUAUCAUAGUAUUUGUUCAUUAAUUUAGAUGUAUUAAACUGAUAUUAGUAUAGUAUUGAGGAAUGGUAAAGAGAGGUAUGUACUUUUGUUCGAGAGGCUAUAGUAAUUUAUGAAAUCUCUUUAUAUUAUCUUGUCUCCUUUGUGCUAUAACUUAUUUCCAAUUGGUACAAGGCGAUUCAAAUUAGUAUUUAACCUCCUUCACUCUUUUGUCUGCAAACGGUUAAUACUAGAUUCAACAGUGUCUGGCCCAUAGCUCUAGUCAAUGAUCAAGAUAAGGAAUCUUCAACUAGAGGUCACAGUCAAGGCUAGGGUAGAGACCAAGGAAGGGUGGGUCCUACUAGGAUAGAGCUUCUUUUGAGAAUGCACCUAGACAGGAGAAACCUCCUACGCAACAUUAAAAAGUACAGUAGAAUGUUGAGGUUGAGGUUGAGACUGAAGAGAAUGUUGUACAACAUUUAGAGGUGCAGGUUGAGACUAAAUGUAUCUUUCCCAUAGACGAGUCUUAGCUCAAUAGAUCAUGUUGUUCUUGAAAGGGUUGGUUAUUCCUGGAGUGUUUCUCUAUGUUCAAGCAACUGAGGUUCCUGCUAAUCACCAUAUUGCUAUCAGUAUCCCUAACGUGGGUGGAAAUGUAAGUAAUGAUGCUUUGAUCGUCCAUUAUUGGGUUCUUAUAUGAGUUGUAAUGACCAUGAGAUAUUGACUACAUUAUUGUAAUAGAUACGACAUGUGUUCAAUGAUUCUGAAGUUAGGAGACAUAUGAAUUUAUCUUACAUUGCUAUGAGGGGAUUUAUAUGUUUGGAAUUGUCCAUCAAAAUGGGGUUGAAUGUGAUUUUUCAGCUUCGAGGGAAUGUAGACAAUAAGUUUUAGCUCCACUUAGUUGGACCAAAUUUAAUGCUGUGUUUUGAGAGAAAUAUGUGCCUAGGAAGUUGAGGGAUUGAAAGAAAGAUAAGUUCAUGGUCGUGGUGUAAGGUGACAUGUAUGUGACUGCUUGUGAGUCAAAGUUCCAUGUCUUGACUACAUAUUCUAAUCAAUUAGUGGCUACUGAGAAACAAAGAAUCCGUUUAUUUAUAAAAGGGAUAAAUUAUGAGGUGCGGGUAUCAUCUAUUUAGAUGACCUCUAUAGCGAAAAGCCUUACUGAGGUUACAAACUUUGUUGAGGUAUUAGAGGGUGAGGCGAGACAGUUAGGCCAAGGCAUUGGCUAUGAAAGCAAAAAAUUCAGUCAACUUUUAGUGAUCUCACUCUAGAGGGUCAGGGAGGCCAACACUUCUAGCUAGGACAAUUAAGUCUGUUAUAUCCUUCUCUAUAUGUAAUUUCUCGGGAACUUUGCCUAACAAUUUGAUUUAGGAUAGUUACUAGGUCGUCCCACCAAUGGGCAGUAGACCAUAUUUUUACCGCACAUAUUACAACUGUGGAGAACCUAGGCAUAUGAGGAGAGAUUGUCCCCACCUGCGCAUGAUGGGUUCUACAAAAUAGUAGACUAGAGUAGAGGGACCCAUAGGGAAUGGAAAUAAUGGUGGAGGGCAUUAACAAGUGGUCCAGUAGAAAAUCACCAAGACCAUGAAGGUAGGUGAUUUGUAAUUCAUGCAGAGGUAUAGCCCAAUCAUAUAGGUAAAUUUUUCCUCAAAAUAAUAAGGCUUAGUGUUACGUCUCUGCGUGAAAGAAAGAAGCAAAAACGUAUGACAUAGUUAUCACAGGUGCUAUUCUUGUCUGUAUCUGGAUGGCUAAUGUGUUAUUUGAUCUAUGUUAUAUUUAUUCUUAUGUGGUCAUGAAAUUUGCCAAAGCAUUUUGUACGAUUUGUGAUAUACUUGAAGGCUCAAUCCAUGUUUCUAACCACUUCAAAAUCUUUCAUAGUCACCCAUGUUUAUCAUUCUUGUCCAAUUUUGUUUAUGGGUUUCCAGACUUGGUCAGAUUUGGUGAUUUUGGAUAUGAGUGACUUUGAUAAAAUCUUAGUCAUGACUCGGUUGUCCUCCUACUAUCAUUUUAUUAAUUGUAAUACUAUAUGUGUAACUUUAGAAAUUCUGGGAACUGAAAAGUUAUAGUAGGAAGGCGAGAACAAGCCUAAGCAAGCUAAGAUUAUAUUCUCCAUUUGAGUAAGGAAACAUUUAGGGUAGGGUUUUUUGGUUUAUUUGGGUCAUAUUUGGCAUGUUUAGGUUUAGUCUCCAUUUAUUUAGUCCAUCUUGUGCUGUCAGAAUUUAGAUAAUUUCUUACUGAUUUGCCUGGUAUGUCUAUGGAUAGAUAUAUAGAUUUCUUCAUUAAUUUAGAACAUUUUACUCGUUCUAUUUCUAUCCCUCCAUAUCACAUCACUCCACAAGAAUUAAGAGAGAUUUAGGCUCAAACAAAAGAACUUCUUGAUAAAGGGUGUAUAUUACUUGGUGCUUCUCCAUGGGGUGCUCCAAUUUUGUUUUUUACAAAAAAAUAUGGUAGAAUAAAGAUGUGUAUACAUAACCUACAAUUUAAUGGGGUCACCCUUCGAAACAAGUACCAUUAACUAUUAUAGAUGAUCUUUUUUACCAAUUACAAGGUGCAUUUGUUUUCUCUAAGAUUGAUCUAAGAUGUCAUUACCACUAGUUAAUAAUUAUCUCUUGGAUGUGCCCAAGAAGGCAUUUAGAACCGGUUAUGUGCACUACAAAUUUCUAGUUGUGUCAUUUGGGUUGAAUAAUGUACCCGUAGCCUUUAUGAGUUUAAUGAAUGGUGUUUUCAAAUACUUUCUUGACUCGUUGUAUAGUUUUUAUUGACAAAAUUUGGUCUACCAUAAAAGUGAGGAAGAGAAUGUCAACCAUCUUCUUGUUGUUCUAGGUGUUCUUCGGAAACAAAAGCUGUAUGUGAAAUAGUCUAAGUGUAAAUUUUCAUUAACUUUCAGUUGAUGUUUUGGGGCAUGUAGUUUCAAAAGAAGAGGUAAUGGUUAAUUCGCACAAUAUUAAAGCAGUUAAGAAUUGGGUUCGACCUAGUUCUGUGAUGGAAUAUGGGAAUUUUGUGGGGCAUAUUAGCAACUGUCAUCGGUUUGUGAAAACCUUUUCUUGUAUUGACACUCACUUGACAAAUUCGACCAAAAAGGAUAUACCAUUUGAAUGGAGUUAAAAAUUUAGGCAAGCUUUAAAACGUUCAAGACUCUUUUGACGACAACACUUACUCUAGCAAUGCCGAUGAAAGGUAAGCAUUUUAUAUUAUAUUGUGAUGGUUCACAUUCUAGUGUGGGUGCGGUAUUCAUGCACAAAAAUAUUGGCAUAGCAUAUGCAUCAAGUUUGUUUAAGGUGAAUGAGAAAAUUUUUCCAAUGAAUUAUUUAGAUUUGGUAGUUGUAAUAUUUGAUCUUAAGAUCUAGCGACAUUACCUAUAUUAUGUUAAGAGUGGCGUGUUUACUGAUCUUCUAGUUUGCAAAAUCUGUUCACUCAAAAGGAUCUGAAUUUGAGACGGUAAAGGUGGAUGAAAUUACUCAAAGAUUAUGAUGCAACCAUUCAAUACCACCCCGGUAAGGCAAAUGUUAUAGCAGACGCUAUAAGUUUAAAGGCUAUGAGUAUAGGCCAUUUAACCUUUUUGAGUGUAUAAGAGACCUUUGGCUAGAAAUCCUGAUCUUGGAGUGUAAAUUCAUGCAAUUAAGGUGUCUCAAAGAAAGGCGAUGUUACCUAUUAUCAAAGUAAGGGUAACAUUCAUUGAGGAAAUCAAUGACAAAUAAUUUGAGGAAGGAAUUUUGAAUGAACUUAACAAGAAGACUGCGAUUGGUAAGGCACAAGAGACCACUCUUGAUGCGAAAGGUUUGCUAAAUAUUAAAGGAUGAGUUUGUGAUUCUCAAGUUGAUGACUUGAUUAAAACAAUUGUUCAUAGAUUCCCAUGGUUUGCGAUAUUCCAUUUAUUUGGGUAUGACCAAGAUGUAUCGAUAUUUUAAGCAAAUUUAUUGGUGGUCAGGCAUGAAGAAAGAUAAAACAAUGUUUGUGGCUAAGUGUCUAAAUUUUUAACAAGUGAAGUAUCAAUCGAAUCUUUUGAGUUGAAGAAGGUUUAAAUAAGUGUCAUUAGAUGUAAAGUAGAAGUACUUCGAACCAUAAUGCCUCCAUGAGCGGGCGGCGUUCUCCAUUAUUAGUAUUGCACAGUUAGUCCAGCAUGAGUAGAGGUACGCAUCCAAGCAUCAAAUGAAUAGCCAUAGCUGUUAAGAAAAAUAUUCUAAAAGCUAAGAGGAAGGAAGAAGCAUCGUAUUAGAGACAUCUCAGACUAGUUUCUCUUCUUUACUAGCAUACUACAACUACUUAUUUCCUCUUAUGGACAAGCUAGGAGUUUUCUCACCAAAUAGCAUUUGCACGAUGAACAAGGAAGUUCUUUCGCGUCUUCUUUGAGUAUGAUAUUUCCCACUCGUCCGAGCUUUUGUAGACCAAAGCAAAUGUUUAGAUAUGAAGAAGUCAAAGCAAAAGUCAAAACAAGAAAGAAGCAUGGUUCUAUAUCAACAUAGACAUUGUGCAGUACAAAAAAAUGGAGAAACAACUACUUUUUUAAAAUAUCAUAUUAUGAUGUUUAAAUGACACAAAUUUGUUUGACGGUAUUUAUUUACAUUUGGAUAAAAUGUCAUAAAUUUAGCCUCACAAAUUUUUUCGGUAGUUGGAUAAUUGUUGGGAAGAAUUUUUUACAUUUAUUUUGUGAUAAUGCCCAAGUCUAAAUAUAAAGAUGUCAUAUUAGUGGUGGUUGAAAGAUUCACCAAGUAUGCCCACUCCAUAGAUUUAUCGCACCCUUAUACUACCACCACUUUUGUUUCCGUCUUCGCGAAGAGCAUACAUAGCCUACAUGGCAAUUCAAAGUCUCUUCUGACUGAUAAGGACAAGGUGUUUUUGAGAAACUUUUGGGAUGAAUUUUUCAAUCUACUAGGCACUCAAAUUAAUUAUAGCUAUGCCUAUCACGACCCUCAAAGUGAUGGCCAUAGAAAAAGGGUGAAUAGGUGUUGAGACAAAUUUUUUAAGAUGCAUGGUGGCAAGUAGUCCUAAACAGUUGAAACAAUGGCUAUCCACAACUUAAUGGUGGUAUAGUACUAAUUUUCAUAGAGUGUUGAAGUGUACUCCUUUUGAAGCUCUUUAGGGUAUACACCCAUCAACUAUGUAUCAGACCUUUGUUAGAAAAUAUAGUGCAAGCCGCUGAAGAUAUGGUAAUGUCAAUACAACAAUUUUUACAAUUACUUAAGGAUAACUAGAUGAAACUGAAGCCAAGAUAAAGUUAUUUGAAGAUAAUAGGACUGACAGAGAGUUUGAAGUAGGAGACUAAGUACGUUUGGAAUUUCAUACAUACAAACAAACAUCAUCUCGUAGCACUACGUCGGAACCUUAAGAUCAACUCUAAAUACUAUAGUCCCGAUCUUGUUAUUUUUUGGAUUGGUAUUGUAUCUAAAAAACUAGCAUUACCACCUUAAUCUAUGGUCCAACCCAUAUUCCAUGUCUCAUUACUCAAAAAGAAAGUGGAAAUUUAGUCGCCUCUACCUAACACAAUAGAUGAUGGUUAGAUUAUAUCUAACACCUGAGCUGCUGAUAAGUAAAUAGUGCGGCUAGUUACCAUUCUACAAAGGCAAAUGGUUAGCACAACAAUGUUGGCGCUGUGAAAGUGUUUGUUCAGUGGUAAAACCUUCCUCUUGAAGAUGCUACGUGAGAGGACUACCAAUGUUAUGCACCACAUUCUCUAAUUUUAGUAUUGAUCCUUGAGGACAAGAAUCAUUUGAAGACGGACGGUAUGUUAUGAUCUCAAUCCUAGAUUAUAAAAUGUUGUUAUCAAGAUUCGAACUAGAGAAAGAGUAUAAGCCAUUAAAUGUGAAAUUAAAUAUUAAGGUGCCGAGAUUCAAUUCAUUUUAAUAGAGUUGAAUGGACGAUAUCACAGAGGAAAGAGAGGGUUAACUGAAAUAUGAUAAUUUUCAAUCCUCUCCUCGUUCUCUCUUCUUCCUCUGGAGUUUUAUUCUCUUCUCAUCUAAAUCUGAUUUUUUCUCUCUUCUUCAUCUUCUGCAAAUCACGUCCAGAAUAUGGAGCUAACUAUAAAUAGUUCCUUUUUCAUGUUAGAAUCUCCUUGUUAAAUUGACUAUAAUUUCUCUAUUUUUUUAUAUAUCACAUAAAAUUCUCAAAAAAGGUGUAAAAUUCAUUGUUAAUUUUAAAAUUUGAAUCUUGAUCUCGUUUGACCUCAAAUCAGGGAUGAUGCAAGUCUGUCACUUUUCAAUUGACGGUUUGUAUGUGUAAAGCGAAAGUUGAGCUAUAGAAGAACUGAAGUAGCGAUUUUCAUGGCCUUAUAGUAGUGAAAAAUCGAGGAAGGAAUGAAAAAAAUUGAAAAAGGAACUUUAUUUUCCAUUCAAUAUUCCCCCUUUUUUACUUAUAGAAAUGGGAUUUUAAUAGAAAACAUUGAGUGUAACUGUUAAAUAUUUUGGUCUUAUCAAAUUACUUCUUCGGUUGAAUGAUUCACAAGUUUUAUUCAUGUUUGAUACUUCGCUCCUUUGAAGUACACUUAGCAUAUUAUGAUCUAUGUUUUAUACAUUGCAAUAACUAAUUAAAUAGAAUGUGUAUUAUAUUAUAUUAUAUGAAAACUAUUAGAGUUGUAGUGUUUGGAUAAAUUAUGACUUAACCCUUGGCUUAAAUUUUAGAAAGAAUUGAACGAAAUGAUAUAAUAAUUAGUAUCAAUAUUUAGGAACUUUAUUACAAGUAUGGAGGAGUUCUUGGUCUAAGAUAUACAUAGGUGUGUUGUUAGUUUGAAACCUUAUUGUGAUUAUAUAUUCCGAUAGAUUGCAUUGAUUUGAAAGUAUAACAAAGAGGAAGACACCAGCCUUUUAGUGAUUGUUCUACUAUUGCGGCAGUGCAUUUUAUUAACCCUUGUUAAGUGUAUUAAAUGCAUAUAUUUUCUUGUGGUAUAUAUUUUGGAGUAAUAGGAUUUGGUGAUGGGUUGACUUGUCCACAUUUCAAUAUUUUAAUGAUGAAAAAAGGUAAUAAAAGGCAAUGAGAUUAAUUGCUUCUGUGUGAUGUGUUGAUAAUGGAGAAUGGAAUAAAAGACUUUGUGAUUAAGUGCUUUUGUGUGAACAUAUCAUUUGCAUGAUUCUGGGACAUGGUAGUAACAACUGUUUUGUGCAUUGAGAAAGAAUGAGAAUUUAAAGAUGAUAUAUCAUUUCGAGGGACGUAUUGCGUGCUGCGAUGAAUACUAUGUUUGAAGGGACGUAUCACGUGCCACUAUGAUUACUAUUAUCAAGGGUUGUAUUGCAUGUCACAAUAGAAUCAUGGACAAAUAUGUCCCCUAUGGGUCGGAAAUUAGAGAAAGUGGGUGUGUAUCUCUAGGUGAGACAUGCAUCAUUAUAUUUGACAUGGCAUUACAUUACAUUGAAUACAGUUAUCAUAAGUAAACUUGAUAUAGUGUUUUGCUGAUCUUGUGAGUUCUUUUCUGCAGAACUUAUGGUUGAUUAUUACUGAGCUUGUUGUUAAUGACAUGUAAUUUUUGAGGUCUUGUUGUUGCGGAUAUGUAAUCUGUUGAAGUGUUGUUGUUGAAAAUAUGAAAUUUUUCAAUGUUUUUUUGUGAAAGGUAUGUAAUUUUUCUAAGUGUCAUAAUAGAGUUAUGUGUUAUGUAAACUGUAAGUUGUUAGGUUGAGAUAAUUUUUAUCCCCUUAGCUUGUGUUUAGAGUUUACUUGUUGAGUAACAUGUGGUUUGGUACUCACACCUUACUUCUACAAUUUUUUAUAGGUUACUAGAUCGGACCUUUGUGAUAUAUUCUCUUCUUUUUCUAGGCUUCUUGUAAAUUUUUGAGGUCCCUUUUUGUCAUCUAAGAACACUAUACUCUAGAAACAAUGUCCUAUGAAACUUAUAUUUUAUUUUUACUCAAUUGUAAUACUUUAGAGGCUUGUAAACGUGAUAACCAGAUUUUGGGGAUAUUUUUUUAUUUUAUUAUAGAAAUUCCGCAUUUUAUUGUUAUAGUUCAGUUUUAGGUUGACUUGUCUUUGUGGGAUAACACGAGUUCCAUCACGUCAAUUUUUUGGUCGUGACACUACGUAACUCGUAACUAAGCCAAAUUACGUAAUUUUCCCAAUGAUAAAGAAGGUGACAUAUUUCAUAAGUGAAAAGUUGUAAAACGGUAAAUUUUGGCAAAAUCUAGAGAACUUUGAGUAUACCAAGAUUAUGGAAUCUAUGGGUCUAGACUUAAUAUAACUUCUCUGUGUUUUGAUUUUGUUUUCAGGGGUUGCGGGGUUGAAUUGGAAAAGUUAGGUUUAAUGUAGGCAUGUUGGGUCAUUUAGCGAGCUUGGAAGAGGUUUAAAACUGCUCGGCGAUUCACCGAAGGAACCCAUUAUCUAAUGUUAGUUUAAGUAACUUUUAGCGAUAAGCUUGAGGUCCCUAAAGUCAAUCAACGACUCACCAAGAGUCUUCUUGAUCACCCUUUGUCAGCACCCCUAAGCCAAUUUUGCACCAUAACUUUUAGCGGGCUAAUCCUAGCUCUCUAAAAGAUGUCGCCAAUUUGAUAAAAGGUUUUUACAUUGCAAACUUUCCAAAAUGUUAGAGUAAAUCCUUUCAGCAAGCUUAAUUUAUCUCGCCAAUGUUAUUCCGCAACUCACCUACGAAUUUGGCGAAUCUAUCUGCAUUUUUUUUGCAUUUAAUUGACACAUUUCGAACUUAUUCUAGUUUUUUUUACAUAUAUGGCUAGAUCUAAGGUUGCAUGUAGAUACAUGUCACCACAAAAAAUGGUUAAGGGUAUUACUAUAGGGAUGAUACUUCAGUUGAUGAGUUGGACGUAAAGAUCGACUAGUAGAAGAAAGCGAUACGGGAGUAGAGAUAUAUGGAGACUUAUAAGGUCCUUAGGAGACGAUUAUACCACUGCUAAUGCAUAUAUCACUGACUGAGAUGUCAAUGGAAGCUCCUAGUGUGUCUAGUAUUCUUGUUCCUCCUAAGGGGACUCUGCGUACUGUGGCCGGAGAUUAGACUUAUGCCAAGACAGAUGGAGCGACUCUGUAGAUAGGAUAUCCUUUUUGUCUUUCUUUUAAUAUACUUUUGGAUAUUUUUUGUUGCAUUUGAGGACAAAUGACUUUAUUUGUGGUGGGUUGAGUCCCACCCUUUUUGAGAUACUUUUGUGAAUGUUGGUUUUCUUCAUAUAUUUGGGUUUUGAGAUGAAAUUUAUUUGUAUACUACUUUUUGUGGAAUGCAUGAGCUUAUGGCUCGGUGUUUUAAUUGAAAAUGAGGUUUGACCCUUCAAAUUAAUUUUUCCAUCUCUUGAUUGUUUGAAUGCGGUUGUUCAAACAGAAAGUUGAUGUCACAUUCGGGAAGCACCCAUAGACGUAACCAGCGUCGUCGUCGUUUUUGAUGACUUAGACUAUCCUGUUAGCUUACAUCAUUAUAUUCAUAGGUUAAAAAUACAGAAAUUAUUAAAAAAAAAUUCACUACUUUUACAUGGAGGUUUACUUAGACCUCUAUAUACACAUAAUAUUUAUAUCGACUAUACAUAGACCCUUCGUAUAGAAAGAUUGCAUAGUCUUCCAAUUUUAUUGCACAUAGAUAUAUAAAAUAUAACAUAGUCUUAAUUGGAUGUCCUAUCUCAUAAACCAUCUAAACAUGAGUGCAUCAGUUUGGCAUAUCCCAUACAUCAAAGUAAUAAGGAAAAUAUAGGCUAUACAAUAUUUAGUAUCCAAAUGAAAAGAAAAGAACAUAAGAGUCUUGAAACUAAAACCACUACAUAAGCUUGAUAUUGACAUUGCCCUAAAAAUGUGAGUACCUACCUUACUUGUAUUAGUGAGCAUUCCAAGUCUUCCAUGAAAGUUGUCUAUAAAGCCUUUCAACCACCGGAACCUAAAAUGUUGGAGGGAAAGGGAGAAAAUAUAUUUUAUACACCACUUAUACUAUUUAUGAGACCAUAUGCACAUACAUCAUAAAAUCAUGCUAAGGAAAGGGACAAUUCAUAAAGGUAUGAAAUGUACUUUGAUAAGACUUAUGCAUAUUCAAUAAGACCAUACUAAUAAAUAAUACAUAUUUAUUAAGUCCAAAGCAUGUACAUCACAAGACCAACAAUACUAAGUCUAGUCAAGUCAACAUGCAUAUCACAUAAUUGAAAACAUAGUAAAAGAAACUCUAUCAUUAAGUUAUAAUAGUCACAAGCAUGAAUAUGAGUUCAUUAUAACAUAUCCAAAGCAAGACAACUACCCAUGAACCCUUCAUUAAGUCAACAAGUGCAACGACUAAGCAAAGCAACAUAACCUUACUCAAUCAAGUAAACUCAACAAGAAUAAUGACUAAAAUCAAACUUCACAUAGCAUGUAAUUUAAGAGUACGUAUCAUAAUACUUUAUAAUUAGAGAUCAAACAGAUAUUCAAAAGUUAAAAUAACCAUCAUAUAGUAUCAUCAAUGUGUAAUAUCAUAAUGUGAAAUUCAUGUACAACUAUAAGCAUAUACAUACAUAAGAACAUCCUCCUAAGACUUCCUUUAAUUAUAACUAGUGCAAUGUAUAAGUAGAUUAUCAUACCCGUACCUUGACUAAGUUAAACUUCUUAGGUCAUCUUAGUCAGAGUUCAUACCAUUAGUUCAUUUUUACCAUUUUUGGAACAUCUUGACUUAACAAACAUAAACCACAUGAGCUAAUGGAAUCUGGUGUCAUGGAACCCUACACCGAAGGAAGAUGGACUAAUUGUCAGGGUAGUACCAAAACAUGAACAUAGAACCUACAUGGAUCCACUAGCUAGUAUUCUUAUGGGGCAACAUAGUUCAAGAAGUAGGAAAUAUAAUUGGGACCCUUUUUAUGCUACAUGCAUUAUAGUCUCCAAUCUCAACAAUACAUUAGUGAUCCUACCUUCCCUAUGUGGCAAGGGACACUCCUUAUUCUAGUUCAUUCGGUGCUAAGCUAGAGUUCCUUUUGAAAUGUUUUAAUACCUUUAUUAAACAUCAUAGCUUAAUGUAGGUCAUUAGGUCUAUACCUUAAAUAAUUAUCAUGAUCAUCGCUCAAUAAGAAUUCCAUGAGUAUAAUCCUUUUAUUAUGAUUCAUACAUGUGAGGUUAGGCAAUUUACAUAGUCAUAUCAUAGUAAGGCACCAUGAUAAAUCAUCACCAUCUUUAUAAUAUUUACAUCUUAGCCAACACAUCACAAACCAUUGUCAAGAAAUUUCAAUAAACCGUCAUACCAACCCUACUAAUCUUCGCAUAGGGUAUACUUAAAUUCAACAUCAUCACUUAAUCACAAUGAACCAUAAUUGAAGUAAAUACUAGGGAUCACAAGACUUACCAAGUUUUCUUCAUAAUCCUUAAUCAAGGCAUUGCCAUCAACCCUUACCUCAACCCAACAUGGGUGUAACAUCAUCACACAACAAUAACCAACAUGAUAACAAGGCUAAUUUUAUCACUAUUUCACAAUCCAUUACUAGUUCAUUGUUUAGCAUAAGAAACAUAUGUCAAUUCCAUAAUCUAGAUAAAUUACUCAAGAACUAGCUUUAUAGGAAUAUAAUUCACUUUAAUCUAUUAAUAGUUGAUACAAUAACAUCAUAUAGUAGUAGUUUAACCAAUAACAAGGUCAAUUGAACAAACACUACAUAAUUCAAAUGGAGAUCAUAACUUAGGGUUAAGGGGAAUAGGUCAUCUUCUACAAAAAAGACCAAUACAUAGAGAAUUAACCUAAUUGAGUUACAAUACCUUUUAAUCUCUUCAUAUUUUCCAAAAUAAAUCAUAGACAAAAAAAUCAUAACAUCAUUUUAAUAUUGGAUUAAAAUCCACUCGAAUUUCCCAUUUUUGAAAUCAAUUUGAUGGAAACCUUUGAGGAAAGAAGUCUCAAAGGUGAAAGGAAUAUCAUACCUUAUUGUUUGAAAAAGAUUAAUGAAAAAACUUGACCAUUUUCAUCCCUUGAAACCACCUCUAGCCUGGUCUUCAAUGGGGUUUCUUUGGGCAAGACAUAAAAAAAAUAAGGAAGAGAGUUUUGGGUUUGGGAAUUAUGGGAGCCUAGGUUAGUCUAUAUAGCUUAGGGUCUUUAUAUAGGUUGUUAAAUCACAUAAUUGCACCUCCCAUAACCCUUAAUUAACUUCCUAACUAAGAAAAAUGAUUAAAAGACUUAAAUAAAAAUGUGCAGCAAAACAGUGGCUCCACAGACGAGACCUCAAUAGACGAACUGUGUCUCCAUCGACGGGCACUAUUCACUUACGUGGCACACAUCCAUCGAUGGGUUCAGAGACUAUCCAUUUGCAGGAUUCCAAGUUUUUUUUAAGUGAACAUCAACGGAGGUAUCAACGCCCCAUCGAUUCACCAAUGGCCCGUUGGUGGCAUUCGUUGGUGACAACUUUUACUGACAACUUUCAAGCACUUUUCCAACGUUCUCCUCAAGGGACCUUUGUUUGUCCUUGGGGAUUUGUGCCCGGACGUUUCUACUAUGAACUAACUCUAAUACUUAUUAUACACCCUUCCACCAAUAUUCAUCAUUUUCCGAAUCCUAAAACUUUGUCAAUAGCCUAAGGCAUGCUAACACCUCAUUGAACUAGUUUCCGGACGUCAUGGACGUUCCUUGACAUUUGAUUCCUAAACUUCCUAAAUGACCUAUAUUCGUUAUAAUUGAAGAUAAAAUAGUGUGUAAACCUCUUAACGCUCAUGUUAGUCUCUUGAACACGUCCUAGACUUUCGAAGUGUUACAGUAUUCCCCCUUACAAACAUUCGGCCCCGAAUGACUGUACAAUCUUUUAAAGGAAGAAAUAGACUCAAAACUAGCAUACCAACAAAAAACGAAUAAAUUAUAUCAUCAUUUACAACAUCAAUCAUAUCAUUUACACAAGGCAAUUCAAACCUUCAAUUUCCAUACAUAAGGCCCAACAUAUCAUUAUGAGGAUUAUCCUUCUCACAAAAACAAGAGCUCAACAUAUCAUAUAUGAGUCAAAUAUGCCAAAAAAUAACUUACAACCACACUCAAUAUUAUUUCAUGAAGAAUCACCGUAAAAAAAUGCACAACAUAACUCAAACCAAGAAGAAUUGUAAAUUUUAAAGUGUAUAUGCACGAUUUCCUAGUGACUUCACUUUUAUGACAUCAAAAUACACAUUUUUGCAGAACUUCACCAAAAAUCAAACAAAAUUCAAUAAUUAUUAUUAUUUUCAUUAUUAGUAAGAAUAAAUAAAAUUCAUUUAGAAAUAGAUGAGGAAUCGGGACUCCAUCGGCCUCCCAUAUUGCUCCCCAACUAGGUUGUUUCCCAAAACACUUUUUUGGAGGUCACCUCUUUGUUCCUCAACGUCUUCACUUAACGAUCAAGGAUCGCAACGGGAACCUCCUCAUAGAAGAGAUUAUCCUUUACACUAGGACCUUAAUAGGAAGAAAAGACUCAGUAACACCGAUACACUUUUCAAGUAUAGAAACAUGGAAAACCGGAUGAAUCAAAGUCAAUUCAGUAUGGAGUUGCAUGAUUUUUUGGGGACCCAACAUAAUGUCGAAUCAACUUACCUUUCUUGCCAAAUCUAACCCCCAUUUCAUAGGAAAAUUAAGCACACUUUAUCACCUUCUUAAAACUCUAAUUCCCUCCUCAUAAAGUUGGCAUAAGACUUUUACCCGCUAUAGGCUUUUUUCAAGAGAUUUAUUAUGAUGUGAACCUUCUCCAAAGUCUUAUAAAUCAAAUCACGACCCCAAAGUGACGUGUAACACCUCGAAAAUCCAAGACAAAUUGUAAAUCCUAACAUAGGUUUCAUAAUGUCUAAGUAUUGUUUCUAUGUCAAUUUUUAAUGAAUAUAGGUCAUUUUGGAGGUUUAAGAACCAAAACUUCCAAGCUCGUCCAUGACAUCCGGGAAGUUGGUUCAAAGGGAUGUUAGUGUGCCUUAACCCAUUUAACUAACUUUAAGGAGUAAAAAAUGUACAAAAAUGGGUGGAAAGGUAGAUAAUAGGUGUUUGAGUUGUUUAAUCAUGAAACAUCCAGGUACACUCCCAAAGGACCAAGCAAGGGUCUUUGAGGAGGACCCUUGUAGUUUGAUGAAACACUACCUGGCAGUGCGCAUCGAUAGUACAGAAGACGACCCUUGUGUAGAUCAAUGGAACAUAGAUGCCAUCAUUUUCCCAAACUUUCGCUGGUGGAGAAUGCCCCCUUCACCCACACAACCUCUGAAUGUAGUGAUGGAGUGUAGAUUUACAGGCUACGGUCUGUGUGUUUAUCGACGUAGAUUCGAUACCACCGUCGUCCCACACAUAGAGAAUUAGAGGAGUCUUCUCACCUGCACAAUCUUUGACUAGGAUGACGGAGUGCAGGCCGCAAGGGGUGCAAUCCGUCGACUCACAGAUGGCCCGUCGAUUGGGGUUUCGUCUGUGAGGGUCGAGUUUUCUACCUAAUUUAAGUUGCCUUAUUAUAUUUAUUAAGUUGUUUAGGGGUUAGUUUGGGAUUAAAGGGAUACUAAUUAAGUUUAUUAAGUCCAAAUAUAAAUACUCUUAACCCUCAUUAUACUAAAAACAACUCUCAAAUAAACUCUCAAAUAACCUCACAUUGAAGAAUAGCAAGGACUAGGGUUUGGGGUCUUCAAAUGGAAAAAUUUACCAUCAAUUGUUAACAAACGUUAAGGUAUGGGUUCUAUUCACCUUUGAGAGUCUUUCCUCAAAGGGUUCAUUCAAAAAUAGAUUUUAAAAGUUGAGUUUCUAAUGGUUUCAUACCAUUAUGAAAUUGAAGUUAUGGAUUAAGUUGUUAAUGAUUUCUUAGGGUUAUGUUGAGUAAAUUAAUACGUAACUCAAAUUUUUUAUGGCAAUUGUUGACGAUUUUGUCUAAAUUGAAGAAUAUGAUCCUCCAUCCCUAGCCCUAGGGAUUAAAUUAUACAUGCUAGUUCUUGACAUAUGAAUUAGGUUAUGAAUUGUUAUAUGAAAUUAGCCUUUGUAUCUUUUCUAAAGUUGUGAUCUAAAGUUUUAUUGUGUUAUAGAGAUGCAACUGGCCUUGUUAUUCUAUUGGUUAUCAUUGUGUGAUAAUGUUCCUCCCCAAGUUGGGUUGAGAUAUGGUUUGAUGGUAAGACCUUGAUGAUAGAGUAUUAGGAAGACUUGGUAAGUCUUAGAAUAUCUAUCUCUACUUCCAGUUGUGAUUAGUUGUUGUUAAGUAAUGAUAUUACAUUAAAGUAUGCGUUCUACUAGGAUUAUAGGGUUGUGUGAUAUUGAAUUGAAAUUUCAUGACUAUGUUGUGGGGUUGAUUAAGGUGUAUGGAAACUAUCGAUAUGCCUUGAUAUGCUAUGAAAUGUUAAUGUUUUAACCUCACUUAUAUGAAUUGUGAUGAAAGGACUUUUACUCAUAUGAUACUUAUUAAGAUAUCGAUGAUGAUGAUUAUAAGAGGGGUAGACAUAAGAAAUGGUUGAUAAUUAAAUGCUUAAUGACAUUUCAAAAAGGGACUCUAGCUUAGCAUCGAGUGAACUAGAUUGAGGAGUUUCCCUUCCAAUUAAGGGAAGGUAGGAACACUACUUUACUCUUGAGAUUGGAGACUAUAAUUCAUGGAGCAUAAAGAGGGUUCAAACUAACUAUCUUAGUUUUUGAACUAUGUAGCCCCCAUAGGAAUACUAGCUAAUGGAUCCAUGUCGUUUCUAUGCAUCAUCUUUUAGUACUACCUUGGCAAGUAUUCCGCCAUAUUUUUGUGUAGGGAUUUAUGAAAACGGAUUCCACACUAGCUCAUGUGGUCUAUGUCGGUUAGGGUAAGAUGUUCUAAAAGGUAAACGAAUAAAAGGACUUGAACUCUAACUUAGAUAACCUUUAAGGGGUAUAACUUAGUCUAUGUAGGGUUAUGGUACUCUACCUAAACAUUGCACUAGUUAUCCUUGAGGGGAGUCUAAGUAAAAGGUUCUCAUAUAUGUUUAUGUUAUAUUAAAAUAUAUGAUUUAUACAAGAAGACCAUGGCACAUUAUUGAUACUUUAAGUUGAUUCGUUCUUUUAUUCAUAUGUCUUGGGAUGUAAUGUUAAUAUAUGAUGAAAUGUAAACCUAAAUGCCAUGAUAUGUAAAGUUGGACAUUGGUCAUAUUUUCUUGUUGGAGAUACUAUAUUGAGUAAGGUUAUGGGUCUUUGCUUGGUCAUUGCACUUGUUGACUUUAUAAAGACUUUUGAGUAGUUGUGUUGCUUAUUAUGAUAUGUUUUACUCUUAUUCAUUCUUGUGAUAUUAUUCAUUGAUGUUAGGGUUGUAGUAAAUCAUUGUUUCAAGUAUGUUGGGAUAAGUAUUACUUGUUGACAUAGUAAUCAUAUUUGGUUUUUUGAUAGGACUUACUUGACUUAGCAUUAAGUCCCUAAAAAGGGUGAUUUGUCAUGUUUUCAUAAAAAGUCCUUUUUAGCAUGUUUUGCUUGUGUAUGUGCAUAACAUCCUAUAUUUAGUACAUGUGGAGUACUAACCCCAUUUUCAUCCCUUUUCCCCAAGCCUUUUAGGUUCUGGUCUUGGAGAGUUUGUAAGACGACAUUGUUGAUGACUUAGAUUCUUCCUUUCAUCCAAGUGAGGUAGGUCCUCAACUUUUGAGGACAUUGUCAUCUUCUAGCUUACAAAUUUUUUGAUGAUCUUAUUGACUCUAUCAUUCCAUUCUUUCGUAAUUGAGAAUUGUACUUUUGAUUAACCUAUAUAUGGUCUUGUUGAAUUGAUUUAAGUGUUAUGCCCAUCCUACGAUAUUCGUUUAGAUUGUAUGAGAUGAGACAAUCGUUGAAACUAUUUCUAUAUUUUAUGUAUAUGUAUGUGCAAUUAAAAUAGAAGUCUACGUAAACUUCUAUACGAAGGGUCCAUGUAUACUUGAUAUGAAUAUAUAUUAUGUAUAUGUAGAAGUCUAUCUAAACCUCCAUGUUGUGAUAAUGAAAGUUUAAAAUUUUUCUGCAUUUUUCAACCUAUGAAUGUAAUGACAUGACACUAAGAGACUACUCUUAGUUCUUGAAAAAGAUGACGAUGCUGGUUACGUCGAAGGGGUAAACCCAAAUGUGACUGACUUGGUAUCAGAGCAUGAGGUUGAAUAUUGCUGAGUUAUGUCUCUCUCUAACACAUCUAUGUAGGCUUGUAUUCAUAGUUUUGAAGUGCACCACACUUAUGAGUAGGAACCUAUAUGAUGAUUAGGAAUUGUUCUCUCUUUGGAAAUAUUAUAUCGUGCCAAUAGAGUAUACUUAUAGUGAGCUUUUGCAUCUAAUUCUAUUGUUAUGCUGAUAGGAAGCAUGAAUUCUCUAAGGAAUGUGGCUCGAUGACUUGAAGAGGAAUUUGCUAAUGUAGGAAUUCCUCCCCAUGUUGAUCAAGUUCCUCCACUUAAAGAAUAUGCUAAUGUGGUGCAGCCAGGCUAACCAUCCUAUGACGGAGGCUGAGAUAAGGGUUAUUAUUUCUCAAAUGAACCAAGCCAUGACUACUCAAUCACAAGCGAUGAGGAUUCAAGCUGAAGCUAUGACGGCCCAAGACAAUCGGGAUAUUGCUCCCUGUCCUCAUCAACAAGUAACUAUUAUGGAUUCGCGUCUAAUGGGCUUCUGUCGAAUGAACCCUUCAACUUUCUAUGGUUCUAAGGUUGAUGAAGACCCCCAAAAAUUCAUCUAUGAGGUCUAGAAGAUACUAUAUGCCAUGGGGGUUUCUUCAAGUGACAAAGUCGAAUUGGACACAUACCAACUCAAGGAUGUGACUCAAAAUUUGUAUGUGCAAUGGAGGGAUAAUAAGUCGUUGAGAGGUGGUUGGUUUACUUUGGAGAUCUUUAUGGCGGAUUUUCUAGAUCAGUUAUCUCCUAGGGAGAUGAGAGAGGAGAAAGUGACGGAGUACAUCAAUAUUCACCAUGGAGGAAAGAGUUCCCAUGAGUAGUCUUUGGAAUUCAUUAAGUUUUAGAAAUAUGAUCCUUCUUUGGUCUCCGAUCCUAGAUACCAAAUAAGCCAUUUUAUGACGGGGCAUUGGUGGAUUUACAAGAGGAGUUACAAUUGUCCAUGCUACAUGACAACAUGAACAUUUCCCGUCUUAUGGUGUAUGAAUGAAGGGUUGAGGAAGCAAGGGCUAAGCAAAAAAGUAGAGAUACUAACAGAGCAAGGUCAUUUGAUUGAUAUUCUUCAAAGAAUAGUCUUGAGAUACAAGACAAGCCUAGAUUUAAGAAGUUGUUUUCUAAUCAAGUCCCUUCCAAAUUCCCAAGAGCUAGUGGUGAUAGGGUGUCAAAGCCUAAAUUCAAUAAAGGAAAAACUACUAAUUCACCAAAUGAGAAGCAAACUUAUGGAAUGUGCGGUAAAGAGCACUUGUUGAUUGCCUUAAGGAGACGGAUAAUUACUUUAGUUAGGGCAAGAGUGGUCACAAGAUGAGAGAUUGCCCAAACUUGAAGAAUCAAGACAAGGGUAGUGGUCAAGCUCAAGUAUGUGGUUCUGGUGAUGCUUCAAUGAAGAACUGCUUCUCUGAUCUCUGCUCUAAGGUUGAGAAAGAGACCUCUCCCGAUAUUGUUACCGGUAUGUUGAAUGUUUUAUCUCUUGAUGUAUAUACCUUACUUUAUCAUGGUUCUACUUUAUCAUUCGUUACACCUUUAGUAGCUAAAAAGUUUUUUAAUUUACCAGAUAUUUUUGAUAAACCUUUUAUAGUGUCUACUCUGAUGAGUUUCUUAUGUUAAUCUAGUAGAACUGGAUAUUCUUGAUUUUGAUAGUAUAUUGGGUAUGGAUUGGUUGCAUGCAUGUUUUGCAUCCAUUGAUUGUAGGACAAGAGUGGUGAGGUUUAAUAUCCCAAAUAAACUCAUUGUUGAGUGGAAGGGGGAAAUUUUAUUCCUAAAGGUCGUAUUAUUUCUUGUCUAAAAGAAUGCAAAAUGAUUUCAAAAGGUUGUCUUUAUCAUUUAGUAAGAGUCCAAGAUCUAGACUCUGAAAUUCCUCCUAUUGAAUCGGUACCCGUAGUGAGUGAUUUUCCAGAGGUCUUCCCUAAUGAAUUUAUUGGUAUUCUUCCGAACACGAAAUUAACUUUGGCAUUGAUUUUCUACCGUAUACAAAUCCCAUAUAUAUUCCUCCUUAUCGGAUGACUCUGGCCGAGAUCAAGGAGUUGAAGGCUCAACUCAUGGAUUUACUAGAUAAGGUUUAUAUAAGGUCUUAUAUUUCUCAGUCGGGUGCUCCGGUUUUGUUUGUGAAGAAGGAUGAUGGGUCGUUGAUAUGUGUAUUGACUACCGCAAACUCAAUAAGGUUGUUACCAUGAAGAAUAAGUAUCCUCUCUUGAAUUGACGACUUUUCUGAUCGACUCCAAGGGGUGAGUUUCUUUUAAAAUAUUGACUUGAGAUCGGGGUAUCAUAACUUUAGGGUGAGAGGUAAGGAUAUACCAAAGAUGGCCUCUCGGACUAGGUAUGGGCAAUAUGAGUGCUUGCUCAUGUCUUUUGGUCUACUAAUACUCCGGCUGCAUUUAUAGACCUAAUGAAUAGAGUAUUUCAAAAUUACCUAGAUUCAUUUGUAAGUUUCUUCAUUGACGAUAUUUUGGCAUAUUUAAAGAAUGAGGGUGAUCAUAUGGGUCAUUUAAGGGUAGUAUUCCAAACCCUUAAACAACAUCAAUUGUAUGAUAAAUAUAGAAAGUGUGGAUUUUUGUUUAGGUCGGUGACUUUUCUUUGGCAUAUCAUCUCUAGUGAGGGAGUUGAGGUAUACCCAAGAAAAACUGAAGCGGUGAAAAACUGGCCUAGGCCAUUGACACCGACUAACAUUAGGUGUUUUUUUUGGUUUAGCGGGUUACUAUCAAAGGUUCAUGGAUGGUUGCACAUCAAUUACGUCUCCUUUGAAUACUUUGACCCAAAAUAGCAAGAAGUUUGAGUGGCCAGAGGCACGUGAGUAAAUUUUACAAUUGUCGAAAGAUAGGCUUACUUUUUCUCUGGUGUUGACCUUACCGGAGGGUACAAAGGGUUUUGUGGUGUAUUCUGAUGCAUCCCAAUUUUGAGUGUGUGCUUAUGCAAAACAGGAAUGUUAUAGCCUCUGCCUUUAGGCAACUAAUGGUAAAUGAGAUAAAUUACCCCAUUCAUGACCUUGAAUUAGCGAACCAGGUGUUUUCUUUAAAAUUUGGAGGUGUUACUUGUAUGGGGUUCAUGUUGAUGUUUUUACCAAUCAUAAGAGUCUCCAAUAUGUUUUUACCCAAAAGGAGUUGAUUCUUCGACAAAGAAGGUUUCUAGAGUUGUUGAAAGAUUAUGAUAUGGGUGUCCUUUAUCACCCUGAAAAGGCUAAUGUAUUUGUGGAUUCCCUAAAUCGUAUGACUAUGGGUAGUGUAUCCCAUCUUGACGAAGCCAAGAAGCACUUACCAAAGAAAGUUAAUAGGUUGGGUAGGUUGUGGGUGAGGUUGGAGAGUUCUCUAGAUGGGGGUGCUAUAGUUCAUCAUAACUCCAAGUCUUCUUUAAUGGUUGAGGUGAAGUCUGAACAACACCUUGAUCUAGCCAUAAUAGAGUUAACAGAAUCGGUUCUCGGCAAGUCUAAUGAAUCAUUCUCCUUAAGGGAUAUGGUGUGUUAAGGUACAAAGGGAGAUCUUGUGUUCCCGAUGUAGAUGGGUUGAGGGAUCAGAUCCUAGAAGUAGCACAUUAGUCCUAUUACUCAAUUCAUCUGGGGUUGAAUAAAAUGUACCAUGACCUAAGGGAUAUAUAUUGGUGGGAAGGUCCAAAAAGGGACAUAGCGGAGUUUGUCUCUAAGUGUCAGAAUUCCCAAUAAGUAAAGGCCGAACACCUAAUGUCGGGUGUCUUAAAUCUAGAGAUAAAAAUUCCUACUUGGAAGUGGGAAGACAUCAACAUGUACUUUGUAGUAGUUUUACCUCAGACCCAAAAAUCCUAUGAUUCCAUAUGGGUGGUUGUGGAUCGAUUGACUAUGUCCGCUCGCUUUAUUACCUUUACGCUGCAUAUUCGGCGGAGGAUUAUUCAAGAAUCUUCCUAGGUGAGAUGUGUGCCGCCUUGGUACUCUGUUAUCCCUCAUAUCGGAUCAGGGUGCACAAUUCACAUCUAGAUUUUGGAGGUCGUUCCCAAAAGGAUUAGGUACUUCGGUGAAGUUUACCACCGCUUUUCAUCCCCAAAAGGAUUGUCAAGAGUAGCGUACGAUACAUACCUUGAGGAUAUGCUUAGGGCGUGCAUCAUUGAUUUUAAAGGGAGUUGGGAUAGACUUUUACCUUUAGUGGAGUUUUCCUACAAGAAUAGUUUUCAUUAAAACAUUUCCAUGGCUCCCUAUGAAGCCUUGUAUGGUAGGAGGUGUAGGACUCCUAUAGGAUGGUUUUAAUUUUAUGAGCUAUCUCUUCUUAGUCCCGAUUAUAUUUAUAAGACUUUAGGAAAGGUUCAUAUUAUAAGGAAGUGGUUGCAAAAAACCUAUAGUCGGCAAAAUUCUAAUGCCGAUCAUAGGAGAAGGGAUUUGGAGUUUGAAGAAGGUGACUAGGUGUAUUUGAAAAUAUCACCAAUGAAAGGGGUGGUUAGAUUCGGUAAGAAAGGGAAAUUGUGUCCAUUAUGUGAGUCCUAAUGAAAUCUUGCAAAGGGUUGGUAUGGUUGCCUAUUAAUGGAAACUUCCUAGUGAAUUCACUUCUUUUUCCUCAGGUUUUCCAUGUUUUUAUAGUACAAAAGUGUAUCGGUGAUCCCGAGUCUAUUCUUCCUAUUGACGGUAUUGAUGUCAAGAAAAACCACUCUUAUGAGGAAAUUCUGGUUCAAUUGAGUUGGUUAUUGAUUAGAUUACUAUCCUAUGGUUUUAUUAUGAUAAAAUUAAGAUGGAUUAUAAGUCUAUCAUGCUAGUUCUUUGAGAUGUGGUUUAGGUUAUGAAUAAUAAUGUGAAAUUAUCCUAUGUAUCCUAUCUCAAGUUGUGAUCUAAAGUUUAAUUGUAUUAUGGAUAUACACUUGGCCUUUUUUUAAAAUUGGUUGUUAUUGUGUGAUGAUGUUUUCCCAAGUUGGGUGGAGUUAUGGAUUGACGAUAAUACCUUGAUGAUAGACUAUGAGGAAGAAUUGGUAAGUCGUAGAAUCUGUAUCUUUACUUCUAAUUGUGAUUAUUUGAUGUUAAGUCAUGAUAUUACAUUGGGAUACCCCUUAUACUAGUAUUAUAGGGUGGUAUGAUGUUGAAUUGAAAUGUCUUGACUAUGUUGUGAGGUAUAUUAAGGUGUACGCAACUUAAGGAUGGUGAAAACUAUCAAUGUGCCUUUAUAUGCUAUUAAAUGCUAAUGUGUUAACCUCACUCUAUGAAUUGUGAUGAAAGUACUUAUACUCAUACAAUUCUUAUUGAUCUACUGAUGAUUAUGAUCACACAAGGGGUAGACCCUAUGGCCUAAAGUAAGCUAUGAUUGAUAAUUAAAGGAUUAAAGAAAUUUAAAAAACAAUUCUAGCUUAGCACCGAGUGAACUAGAUUGAGGAGUGUCCCUUCCCACAUAGGGAAGGUGGGAACACUACUUUAUUCUUCAACUAAAUCUCUUAGAUCAUGAACUAUGUUUCCCCCAUAGGAAUACUUGCAAGUGGAUCCAUGUAGGUGCAAUGUUUCUUACUUAACUACUACCUUGGAAAGUAGUGCACCUUCUUUCGAUGUAGGUUUUAUGACACCGGAUUCCACUCUAACUCAUGUGGUCUAUGUUUGUUAGGUAAACAUGUUCCCAAAAGGUAAAAUGAAUUAAAGGACUUGAACUCUAUCUUGGAUAACGUAAUGCGUAUCUUAGUCUAAAUAGGGGUAUGAGACUCUAACUAAACAUUGCAUUAGUUAGCCUUGGGAGGAUUCUUAGGACAAUGUUCUCAUAUUUGUUUACAUUAUGAUAAUCUACGUUUAUGCAUUCAUUUAUACAUAUGCCUUGGGUUUUAAUGUUAAUAUAUGAUGAAAUGUAAUCCUAAAUUCCAUGAUAUGUAAUUUUGGACAUUGGUAAUGUUUUCAUGUUGGGGAUACGUGAUUGAAUAAGGUUAAGGGGCUUUGUUUGGUCAUUGAACUUGUUUACUUAAUAAGGACUUGUGAGUAUUUGUCUUGGUUGUUUUGAUAUGUUUGACUUUAAUUAAUUCCUGUAAUUUUAUUCAUUGAUGUUAGGGUUGUAGUAAAUCAUGGUUUCAAGUAUGUUGGGAUAAGUAUUAAUUGUUGAGAUAGUAAUCAUGUUUGGUUUGUUGAUAUGACUUACUUGACUUUGCAUUAAGUCCCUAAAAGGGUAAUUUGGAAUGUUUUGAUAAAAAGUCAUUAUUAGCAUGUUUUACUUGUGUAUGUGCAUAAGAUCUCAUACUUAGUAGAUAUGGAAUACUUACCCCAUUUUGUUCCCUUUUCCUAAAACAUUCUAGGUUGUAGUCAUUGUUGAAGGCUUGGAUUCUUCCUUUCAUCCAAGUGGGGUAGGUCUUCAUCUUUCAAGGGUAAUUCCAUCCUGUAGCUUAUGGAUUCUGUUAUGAGCUUAUUGACUCUAUCAUUCUUUUCCUUCGUAAUUGAGUAUUGUACUUUCAUACGACCUAUAUAUGGUCUUGUUGAAUUAAUGUAUGGGCUAUACCCAUAUUGUGAUAUUAAUUUAGAUGGUAUGACAUGAGAAAAUCAUUAAGACUAUUUCUAUAUAUUACAUAUAUGUUUGUGCAAUAAAAGUAGAAGGCUAUGUAGUCUUCCUAUACGAAGAGUCUAUCUAUACACGAUAUGAAUAUAUAGUAUGUGUAUGUAGAGGUCUAUAUAAAUCUCCAAGUAGUGAUAAUGAAAGUUUUUAAUUUUUAUACAUUUUCAACCUAUGAAUGUAAUGACAUGAGACUAAGAGGCUAGUCGUAGUCCUUGAAAAGGACGACGACGCUGGUUACGUCUAGGGGGUAAAUCUGGAUGUGAUAUGUAUACUCAUAAACUUCAAACCAUCCACAAUUGGAGAUCUACAUCUCUUACGAUACAAGCCUUUAUAAGGAGCCAUAGAUAUAAAUGAAUAGUAACUAUUGUUAUAAGAAAACUACACCAAAAACAAAUGUUUAUCCCAAGUUCCCUUGAUAUAAAUUAUACAAGCUCUAAGCAUAUUCAUAAGGGUUUGAAUAGUGCUCUCAUCUUGACCAUCCAUUUUGGGGAUUAAAAGAGGUGCUUAACUUCACCUUGGUACCCAGCCCUUCAUGGAAUCACAUCCAAAACCUAGAUGUGAAUUAUGCACCCCUAUAUUAUAUGAUGGAUAACGGAAUACGAAAGUCACACAAUCUCAUCUAUGAAGAUCCUUGCAUAAUCUUCCGCUGAAUAAGUAUACUUGACGGGAAUAAAUGAAUGUAUUUGGCCAACCUAUCCACAAUAAACCAUAUAGAGUCAUAUUGCUUUUGAUUCUGAGGAAAACCUUCCAAAAAAUCCAUAUUGAUUACUUUCUAUUUCAAAGUAGGAGUUUGGAUUUUUUUGAAGAAAACCACCCAGCUUUUGGUGUUCAUCCUUAACUUCUUGACAAUUUGGACACUUAGCAACCAAUUCCUCUAUGUCAUUCUUCAAACCAUCCAAUAAAACACUUCCCUAAGGUCCUGGUAGAUCUUUGUCGAAUCCGGAUGAAUGGAGUAACGGGACCCAUGAGCUUCCUCAAGAAGCCAACUCCUCAAACCAUCUUUAUUGGGAAUACACAAUCUUCCUUGUUACCUCAGGACACCAUCCUCUAAGGAGAAUAACUCAUUAUGUUUAUUAAGAACUAAUUCCGUCAGCUCCAUCAUUGUUUGAUCAAGAUGUUGUUUGAACUCCACCUCGACAACCAAAGACAACUCAAAGGUAUGAUGUACCAUUACACCACCUAUAGGAGAAUCUUCAGUCUGAACCCCUAAACUAGCCAACCUAUGAACAUCCUUCACUAGGUAUCUCUUGGAUUCCUCAACAUAUGACAGACUUCCCAUGGACAACCGACUCAAAGCAUCCUCUACCAGAUUCUCCUUGCCGGGGUGAUAGAAAACACUCAUGUCAUAGGCUUUACCCAAUUCUAAACAUCUUCUUUACCAAAGAUUCUACUCCUUUUGAGUGAAUACGUAUUGAAGACUUUUAUGGUCUUAUACACAUCACAUGGACAUAAUACAAGUAAUGCCUCAAAAUCUAAAGUAAAUACCACUACAGAUAAUUCAAGGUCAUGAGUUGGAUAAUUUGGCUCUUGAACCUUAAGUUUCCUAUAGGCAUAGGAUAUAACCUUCCCAUGUUGCAUAACACCACACGCAACCCAGCUCGGGAUGCAUCACAAUAUACAACAAAACCCUUUGUACC